GAAAAGAAAGUCUCAUGUUGCUCUUCAGAAAACGCGUAUAGUGGCCUUCGUCGAUGGGACAAACGCUCCAGUGUAUGCGUUACAAGGCAACUAGCAUUUAGUUCGUGAAAGAAUGUUUCGUUGGAAAAACCAACGCCGACGUCAAGAUCAGUCUCCUUUCUCUUUUCGGGAGCAGAGCUGAAAAAGAUGGACAGUAACGAUCGCGUAAUAUCAAUUUAUCGGCCUCGUCAUCGAAAGCGGCUUCCAAUUGCUCGGAAAUUCUCAGCUAUAUGGGGGACUUUGAUGGUGAGCAAAAAGAAUUGAUCAAGAAAUUGGUAAACUUUCGCAUGAUCGAUGGUAAAAGAACGAGAGUUCGUGCUAUUGUUUAUAAAACUUUUCACCGCCUAGCUCGAACUGAACGCGAUGUAAUAAAACUUAUGGUUGACGCCGUAGAUAAUAUAAAGCCAAUAUGCGAAGUGGUCAAAGUAGGAGUCGCAGGUACUAUUUAUGAUGUUCCUGGGAUUGUAGCCAGGGAUCGUCAACAAACCUUAGCUAUUCGUUGGAUCCUUGGAGCAGCUUUCAAACGACGUAUAAGCUACAGGAUAAGCUUAGAGAAAUGUUCAUUUGCUGAGAUACUGGAUGCUUACCGAAAGAGGGGAAUUUCACGUAAGAGAAGGGAGAAUCUUCAUGGACUGGCUUCCACCAAUCGGAGUUUCGCGCAUUUCAGAUGGUGGUAAAGUGAUACCACAUAAGGAGCUCUUCCUCAUUCAGUCAUACUCAACAAAAGUAAGAAAUGUUUGACCCUGAUCCUUUUUUCAUCUUCAUAUAGAAAGAAAAUCGGCCUUCCUCAUACUCCCCCCUUCAUUCAUAGAGUUGGAGGAAUCCACAAGAGGCCUGCCCGUUCAUAAUUGCAUAAAAGAACCAUUCUUUUUAUGAAAACUCUUGUUCCAACCUCACCUCAGGUCGAAUGAAUACGAAAGGGGGAUCAAUCAAAUCAAUAAGCCAUGAAUGAAGAAGUAGUGGGCCUUUCGCCUUAUUUCGUUUGACUCGUGGAGCUGAGAAAUCUACUUCAAAGAGAGGGAAAGAGUGCUAGUCCGAAAGAACAAGCAAGGGAUGAGCGCACGGGAGCGAAAUCCGUUGCGCCCACGCGCAUACGUUUUCUUGCUGGGUAAUUUCUCAGAAAGUUUUUGUGUUGUUGAUUCCUAUUCCUAGGUGUUGUGCUUUUUCCCCUAUGCCGCCUAUUGGUACUAGUGGAGUAGGAUUGGCCUGUAAUACAGAACCUAUAGGUGGUGUAACCUUUCGCUCAAUACUCAAAUCUACAAUUGAAGCAUCUGAGGCUGCAUCAAUCGAGGAUACACGACAUAAGGAAUUGUUAGAUCUCCAAACUGAACUUCGCCUUCACCAAGCGUGGGUUUUCACUGGUCCUAACUAAUGGUUGGCAAGCGAUCCCCUAUUCUGCAUCCCGAAGAUCAGACGGCCCAGAGCCGGAGCGAUCAUUCCAGCAAGUUACUCAGCUUGAGUUUUUCAGUCAAUCAAUAGAUUGUGCAGUUUCUUAGUCUUUUGGUCCACGUCUUCAUGACUUAUAGAAAGGGUUUCUUUCUUUUACAAGAUCAUGGAAGCUUCAGAAACCAUCCGAGAUCUUCUGGAAACAAGAAAUGUUGCAUCAAAGGGUUCAGUGGUCAUAUCAUAGUGAAAUCGAGUUUCUUGAUUUAGUCGAUAUCAAAUUCCCAACUUAGAAAUUAGAAAGGACUAAGAUUCUACUUCUUCCUCAAAUACUGGGAAUGUGGAUUCAAGUAUGAUAUCACUAUUCCACAGAUCUCAAGAAAACGAAUUGAACAAGUUUGAUGGCUGGAAGAAGAUAGGAAAUAUUCAAACAUGUAUUGCAUUUCAUCGAUCUCACCCUUUGUUCAGUGCCGCAUAAGUACUGACUUCUUGAACAGAUACCGGUACCGGUCAUGAAGGCUUCGCCCUUCUCAAGUCAAGUGCAGAAGCGAAAUCCGUUGAGCAAGAAGCCAGUGAUCCCACAACAUCAAAGUGAUACAUAUGACAUAUUGGAAAUUAGGCUUAGUUUGUAGCUGUGAAUAUAGUAAUGCACUUAUUUAUUGAGAAAUAUGUUCUUUCAAGUAGAGCAUACUCGGUAGAAAGGAGGUGGCGGAGCUGGGAAGAGGAUUAUACUUUAUCGAUUACUUGGACUUAGAGACCAAUUAUAGAAAGAAGACAGUAGCUGAGUGAGUUUUAUGGAUCUAGUUUAUGAGCAGCUUAACUAGAAAAGCAAGCAGAAGGAAUAGAAGAAUGAAAUGCAGAAAUAGGGGAAGGGCGGGUAGCAUUUUCAAAUGCCAGUUUGAGUGAGACAGUUUCUGUCUGGCCCCCCACUUUUAGGCUGUUCUUCCAUUCUGCCUUUGUCUUGCUCUAAGCUACCUGACUUCCUUCCUUUGUUCUUCCAUUCUACUUUGUCGGAUUCUGAUCAUCAGUUCUUAUCGAUCCCAUUUUAAGGACAAAUCCUGAUGUUGGUAAAAUAUACGUGUUGAUCAAGGCCAAGGACAAUGAAGCAGCCAUGAAAAGAUUGAAGAACGAGGUAUGAUGAUUACUUCGGACUACUUUCUGUUCUUCAUGCAAAUGACCAUAUUUUCCGUCUGCAAUACAGGUAGAAGAUACUGAGUUGUUCAGAUGUUUACAGGAAAUCCAUGGGAAAAACUACCACAGCUUUGUAUUAAGCAAGCAGGUUCCAGUCGUUGGUAAUUUCAGGGAAGCCAACAUUGGCAUUGCUCCUGAGUUAGCCAAAGAGAUCGCGGAAGAAGUGGAUGUUAUCGUAAACUCUGCAUCAAAUACCACUUUUGAUGAGAGGUUCGUGAAGCUAUACUAGUCUUGCACCAAGGAUUGCUUCCAUUACUAAAUGUGUAAGUUCACAUUCCAUAGCAAUAAAAGUAUUGCAACUUGCAGGUAUGAUGUAGCACUAGACAUCAACACCGUGGGGCCAUUCCGGAUAAUGAGUUUCGCGCAGCGGUUUCGAAGACUGAAGCUCUUCUUGCAAGUAUCAACAGGUCAGAAUGCCAAAUAAGAGUUUCUUGUGGUCGAAAUCAAAUGGUAACCUGUUUCUAUUAAUCUCAAAAGCUUACAAACAAGCUUUAGCAGUAUGUUUGCAUGUCAUGUUUUUGGCCAAACAGCAUAUGUGAAUGGGCAGAGGCAAGGUUUGAUACUAGAGAAGCCAUUUUGCUUAGGGGAUACCAUAACAAAGGGGAUAGGUUCCUCAGAUUUUUCGGCACAUCAGAAUACCGUGUUGGAUAUCGAGGCUGAGAUCAAGUUGGCUUUUUACUCCAGAAGGCAUUCUUCUGCCUCUGCUUCUGUUACUCAAGAAAUGAAAGAGUUAGGUAGUCGAGGUAUUCUAGUAUUUCCCUGUUACUUUCUCAUGUCUGUAGAUACGAAUACACACAUGAAGUAUUUGAUUUGUGCAAUUUAUUUAUUCAUAGGGCCAAACUCUAUGGUUGGCAAGACACUUAUGUGUUCACAAAGGCCAUGGGCGAGAUGGUCAUCAACUGCAUGCGAGGAGAGAUACCGGUGGUAACAAUCAGGCCAAGUGUCAUAGAGAGCACAUGGAGGGAUCCCUUCCCAGGUUGGAUGGAAGGAAACAGGUAAAUGCUAAACCCAAAUCUGAGGUUGCGGAUGUCACAUAUAUAUGUGAUGCAUCCUCGUCUGCUUACCAGAUAAUGAGCUAUUUCCAGGAUCUAGCAGUGCGUACUAACUUUUGACGGGUUGAUGGUGAGGAUCAAGUAUAUGACCUAUAUUCCUCACUAUUAGAGGACUUCAAAGAGGAGAUUCCAUCAUAAUCUCUGGAAGCUAGUGUCAAGGAAGCCGUUAGCCGUCACCUUAACUGAAAGUUGGUGAAGAAGGUGUAUAUGCCUCUUGUCUAUGGUAAGACACAGCAUAGUGCAGCAGCGGACAUCCAGAAGGGGCUUGACUUCAUUAGAAAACGUGCUGAAAGCAACAAAGUGGCGGACAUUUUUUUUUGCAUUCUGGGACAAUAAAUUCCCAGCCAUUGCUAGGCUGAGCCAUGUUAGCAAAGAAUGGUUUCUCCAACAAUAUGAGGAUAAAUCCCUUACUAAAAUGGUAGUGGUCACAAACCCCUUCCGUGUACAAUUGAAAACAUUAACAAUACGAAAGCAAGAAUCAUCAUUUAUACUGGGAAUGCCUUCCUCUACCAAAAGAGAAAGAGUUGAAGAUAACGAAGGAAAGUGGGUGGAUACAAAACCAGUUCAUAUCACUUGUCUUUCUGGUCUUUCAGAAUCUCAUCGAAUACUAGUAAAUGCUUUCGAAGAGAAAAUAGAAGCACUAGAGAGCUCAAGUUCACUUCAUUCAUCACAAGAUGCAAAUGAUAAUCAAAAUGGAGCUAAUGAGGAAGAAAUCACUUCUACUUAAACUUAAAUAGUUCAAUACCAACCAACACAUAAAGCAAUAACCAGAUAGAUAGAAUGAUAACAGGUAAUACGAAGAUAUCAACACAGCCGGAGUCACGAGGCUCGAUAAUGACCAAUGGGUUAGGAUCUGAGGAAGCUUAGUUUGGAUGAUGGAAUAUUCGCUGUUCUGAUUGUUGAGAUACUGCAAAUCCACUUAUCCAACAAUUUCAGUCCAUUUUCCUACUUUUUCUGCAAGGGGUUCAACCCCAUUCCUAUCAUAGAAGACCGGCACUUUUGGAUGAGGUGUGAACUAAGAUAGAUUUGAGGGCUGGUUAUCACCAAAUAAGAAUGAAAGGAAGAGGAUAUCUACAAAACAGCCUGAAGGACCGGCUUUUUGAAUUCAAGGUGAUGCCCCGGCAACCUUUCAACAACUCAUGAAUAGUGUUUUUAAAGAGAUAUGUUGGAAAGGGGUAUUGGUCUUUUUCGAUGACAUUCUAGUGUACAGUUCUACCAUGGUGGAGCAUCUCAAGUUGCUAGAGGAAGUGUUCCGGCAGAACAAACUUUUUGUGGGUGAGCCAAAUUUCAUAAAGGAAAUACAUUAUUUAUGAAAUUGGGGUAUCUACUGAUACAAACAAGGUAGAGGGCAUGACAGCUUGGCCAGAACCAGCCAAUGUCAGAGAACUCCGAGGGUUGCAGGGGUUAUUACAGGAGGUUUGUACCGGGGUAUGGAGCUAUCAGCAGGCCUUUAACUGAGUUGUUAAAGAAAGGUGUGGAGAAGAAGCCAGAAAAGCAUUUCUCAAGCUCAAAAGUGCUAUGGUAUGGUGAUGCCUUUGAACGUUGACUGGGAGAGCGGCUCGAAAGAGUUGGGACAGACUAGAAGCUUUGAAGUUUAUGUUCUUUAAUAAGAUAAUAGCAAUCUUGACUUACAUCCGGUCAAGAUCCCCGUGAAGGAAUGCUGAUUGAACAUCGAGCUGAUAAAGAGGGAGUACCAUACCCAAGAUACUCCAUUAAAGGAAAGGUAUGCUUGUUUGGUUUCUUUGGUCCGAGAACACACACCACAAACUCUCGCAGUCGAUGAGGAAACGUUAGUAAAACUACAUUUCAGUAAUCCGUCUGGCCUUAACCUCUACGCAAGGAGAUCUUACGUAUAGACCCAUGAUUAGGUAACUACUUCUUCUUUUAUUCGGAGUAUCCAAUGGAAAGUGGGCCUCUAUCUACAGGUCAUGGAUACCUGGGCGCUAGAAAGGUUACCGAACCAGGGUUAAGUGAGGCUGUUCAAACUUCACGGCCUUCACUAUCGGAUGUAUAUGAGUAAAAUCAGACAUCAGUAUCACAACCUAGCGUUAUCCAGAUCUUUCGUUGAUCCAGGCGAUUUUGGGAAGGACUCAGCAUUCUCCCACAAAAGGCCAGGCCUUGAGUUUCUAGCCGACUCAUAUAAGUCAGGGUGUAAAUUUUUUUUAGGUGACGUAUCUUUCUCUCUGAUGUUCUCCGUGGUCUCAAAGGAUGAUCAGUCGGAUAGCGACAUUGGUAAAUAAAAAGAAUAAGUUUACACGCCGGGUGCAUACUUCAGUGCCACUAAUUAGCGACUUUUUUUUGCCCUUUACCUACACCAUGUAGACCGGAGGAUUACACAGAAUCCCAUUGGCGAGUUUCAGACAGCUAGGUUAUUCAAGAAACUUUGAAUACCAACUCCAAUGCUUGGCUUGCUGAAUCAGCAUAUGGAUUACUUCAUUGAAUUUCUCGGCCCGAGCUCUUGUGAUUGGUCCACUUGGCAGGUGGAGUGGAUCCUUAGCAGGUUCAUGUGUUCCUUGUUUACGUAGCUCUUCUGUUGGAUCACGUAGCCCCUCCGUUGGAUUACGUUGCUCUGCCCUUGGAUUACUUGAGUCAUUUCUGGGUUUACUUGGCUGCUCCGCAACAUGUUGGUUACUUGAUCCUUCGCUUUGUUUACUUGGGAGCCCAAUACUUAUUGGUUGGGAAAAUUACCUUCCAAGGAAAAUGAUCCUCCCACUGGACCGAAAAACCCAUAUAUUCCCAUGGGAAUGGGUGGUGCUGAACAAGCAGGCAGGCCCAACGUUGUUUAUCUUUACUGCAAUCCUGGUUAGGUAAAAGGAAUUCCGCAGCAGCGGGUACGGGAUUAGUUACAACCAACGGAAAGACUUAUUUAAAUAAUAGGGAAUUUCCUCAUCCAGUCUACUCCUAGGACUACAUCAUAUGCUCCCAACUCCAUGGCCAACAAAUCAAACUUCAAUCGAUAUCCUUGCAUCUCCCACUGUACACCAGAACACAUCCCAUACAAUCGGCCCGAAGAGCAUCAAUGAGCAGGCCUACUAAAUAGGCAUAGAGAUACAUUAGCCGAGUUUGCUUACAACAACUGCUAUCACUCUAGCAUCGGAAUGGCACCUUUCGAAGCACUCUACGGGAACCUUUGUCGUACCCCGAUUUGUUGGGGUUGGCACGUACCGACCGACGGGGCCACAGAAGAUGAAGGAGAGUGCCGAGAAGAUUCCACUUAUUCUAGAUUAAAAGCAGUUCAGGACCAGGUACGCCGACCACGAUAUUUGGAGUUUGCAGUAGGUGAUCAUGCUUGACUUCGGCUUGAACCUACAAAGGGUGUGAUGCGUUUUUGAGUGAAGGAUUAGGUAUAGCUGACCGAUACAUCGGACCUUUCUUGGCCCAUAUCCCCCUAGCCCUUACUCCCUUGUUUCGGUGGUUGGUCUCUACCUUUUUCUGUCUCUUGGCUAGUUUGUCUUCCUCUUCUUUUUGAGGGUAACGUAGUAAAAAUCCUUUAUUUCAGGGGAUUUCCCUUUUCUUUCCAAAUGAAUUUAUGCUUAGUCUAAAAUUGGUAAAUACCAAAUAAUAAUAUAUAUAUAUUAUUAUUUGGUAUUUACCAAUUUUAGACNUUAGAAAUAUGUACCAGUUUCCUGAAACUAACAAAUAGAGUUAUAUCGAUAUAUCGAAAUAAGUACCCCUUUUGUAAUAUACUUCCGCAGAGUGAAUACGCGCUCAAUGAUGAACCUUCAAAAAUGCGUUAUGCCGCAAUAGGUACUAGUAUCAUUAUAGCAAGUUAUUUGACUUCGAAUGCAAUAAUUCCGCUAACAGCCUCUAUAAUACAAUGAAAAAUAAAUGAUCAAUUCUAUUCCACGAUGUAUUCCUAGUUUGAAAAGAGAUGAAUGAAGGGCAUGAUCAUUAUAAAGUAUACCCAUUUUUAUUUAUCCCAGCUGGGUUCUUGUUGAAUACCCAUAGAGCUCGGAUUCCGACGAUACGAGCAAAAGCUAUGAAAGCAUUAGGAAAGGGACACCCGCCUCCAUUUUGGAUUCGGUCUGUUCCAUCUUUUACCUUUGGAAAAAUAAAGGGAUUGGAGCCGCAAAUCCUUGUUGAAGAGGAUAUCGAGCACAAGAGUGAAGAGUGAAGAGUAGAGGGCGCAUUGGAUGUGCGCUCCCUAUGAACGAUGUCCCACUAGAAAUGGAUCUUCGGAAAGAAGAGUGUUUCUCUUGAUAUUUCUAUUCUAUUCUAUUUCUAUAAGUGAAUUAUUGAUCUUGAUCAAAUGGAGAAAAUGUAGAUGUGAAACUAUGUUCUUUGAACACCUUCUUCCAUGCUAUUGAAGCUGGCAAACAGGGGAGUGAGUGAAGAGAGAAGCCAUGCCUCUUUCGAUGUGAGGCAAGCGAUGAACGAGUAGAUGCUGCCCUUAGACCAAUUUUCUCUUUCGGUAGCUGACACCGAGAUGGGCUAGGCUAGGAAACCUUAUUCGAGACGAUAGGGAUGGUAAACAAAGCGAUGGGGUAUACGUACGAAUUGGAAUACAAAUGAAAUCAUUGCCUAUAAAGAUGAACCCGUUAGCGUAUAGGAACAACAGCAUAUGAAAGUUGGGUGGAUACUCCUAUUUAAUUGGUUUAACCAGAAACAGAGGAUAGGAUUCGAAAAGUCAACCGGAAACCGUGCCCUAAUCUUUAAUUGAGUUCAAUACCCCUACUACUAGUAUUGGCGUGGGUUCGUAUGUAUACAUUCGUAUUGGCUUAGCGGUGCACUUCGUAUCCCGCCACAUCCGAUCCUUUGCUUUGCUUCCUUCUUACUUUUAUGAUUUUAUUGACUACUCUUGUGCAGCUGGGAUAUAGUGAGUUGAGAAAGGAGAUAGUGAAACUUAACUAGUCUUUGUCAUGGAAGGGAGCAACUUCUCUCGAGUACGUACAGUACUGAGGAUUUACGAAUAGGCUAACGUUACCAGUACAUAGUGGAUCUAUGAUAGUGAUGUAUGGACCACACCAACCUCUCUUUCUAGCCGUAAUCGAUAAGAAAGGAAGAAAUAUCAUGGCAUGUGAAAGCAAUAAAUCUAUAAUAAAAUAGGUAAAGAAAGGCAAAUACUCCGGGGUAAUUGGCUUAUACCACAAUGUUACUCUGACAGGAUCCUUGACAAAAUAGUCUUGGCUUGUAACCCAGUAUUUAUUGGACAAUAUAACUGGCUGCUGAAUACGCGCGGCUAUCCUGCUAAUACUGGCAACCAAAGACAUGAGGUUCUUCAUACCAGCAUAAUCAUUCUCCCAGUAUUGGAAACAUACUUUUGUAAUAACAUGAAUGUCUUUAAUCUCUGUGUACCUUCCUAUUUGCUCUGUCAGCUCAUUAGCUGCUGCAAAUAUUUCUUAGCUAUUAGAUCCUCUUUCUUCAUGGUAGAACUCCAAGACAGAUGAUAGCUCUUGCUUGUCUUCAUGAAAAAGUGCAGAAGCCUGUAUCAAUGAAGAGUAGGCCGGUACCAGCAGAAGAUAGUAAAUAGUGAGGGAAGGUUGGCUUGACAGGCUUCGUUCUGGAUGUUGUAAUCUCUUCUCAUGGUCUUUGUUCGCUUUAUUAUCCCGUUGUGAGAAUGGCUAGGACUGUGGAUCCACACGCCCCUCUAGUCAGUACUUUCCGAGUAGCGCAAGGCUUCUUCGUUGGCAAAUAAACGAAUUAAUGAACUAAUUUCCUAAUAUGACGUGAACUUGAACUAGCAUUGAUCAAGUCCAUGAGCUCAUAAGAAGGAGUUCUUCACGUGAGAAAGUCCACGGCUUAGCUUAAUUCAAUAAAAAAGAAAGUAUCCAAUCGACUUUAGGAGCGCCAUAUGUUUCUAUCUGAAACGGUAAAGCGAGGCUCGCUAUAAGGGUCAUAGCUAGUUCAGGAUUGGUAGGAAAGUAAUACAAAUGAUUGUAAUAUGACAACCCCCAGGGGAGCUAGCCUUUGUGUUAAGAUUAAAAAGAAGAGCCCUCUUUUCAUACGACUCGGUGAUUCCAUUGCUCUAUCCGGCCGCAAGAUUCGAUCGCGUACAGCACGAGCACGAGAUGGGUUGGGGACUUAGAAAUGAGCUAUGCUCCAAGAAUUGACCCCUGAACUACCUUUGCCCGCCUUUUCUUGUAGAAUCCAUUCCCCCUCUUUUAUAUAUUUAGAAUGCUUUUAGGGCUAGUGGAAUGAGGCUGGAACCCAUCAAUAUCGCUAAACCGGGAGAGUUGCUUGUGUUGGGUUCAAAGUUUCGCUCUACCAAGGCAAGAUAUAAUAGAAUAUGCAUCCAGCUUUAGCUGAAUAUAGUGAGUGUUCAGCGAAAAAGAAGCUAUCCCGCUAAAUCUUCCCGUGGGGCCAAGGUUUGUUUGACAUAAAGAUAGAUAAGUGACCUUACUACACACCCAUGGGUGAAACUCUCACUCCGAUUUGAUUACCAGGUUGGGGAUAGGCAAACUACUUAUCAAUGCAUUUGUGUUGCUCUGGUGGCCACAUAUAGAAGAGUUGUUAGUGAAGUUAGCUAGAAAGGGUCGUCAUUUCCCUACCAUUCAAUCUUCCACCUGCCAGAUUUAUCGUCACUAUUUUAUUAUAGUGGGUAUCAGUAUCCAUUGGAUAAAUCCCUCCGCAUAACACUUCAACCCUGACUUUUAUUGAUAAGACGAAUGUCUACUCUGCGUGGUUAACAAGCGUUUUCCGAAUCAUCUAUACCUUCUCAUCAGCCUCCUGGACAAGAUCCGGAGCGCUUCUCCCGAUGGACUUAAGCUCUUACGUAGUAUAUAGUGACUGUAAGGAAUAGAGCUUAUGUAUAGUGCCUGUACGGAGCCACCCACCUCAAUGGUGAAAUGGUAGCAGCUAUUGUGUUGUAUGCGAACUCCCAGCUGAUAGGCAAGAGAGGGGGCGGCUAGCAAGGGAAAGGAAAGCCGUAUCUUUGGCUAAAGUAUGUCAUAAGACAAUAUAUCAGUGGUCUAUACUGCCUGAAUCUGAGCCUGAACUGGUGCUGCACAUACAUGACCAGGAUAAUAUUAUUCUCCACACUUAUAACACAGACCAUUAGCCCUUCUCUUCUGUAUUCCUUCAACUGUUUUGCCCCUUGUCGAACUUUGACUGAGACAUAGCCUUGCUGCUGCGGGGCAGCCGACUUAUAAUUCUAGUUACUGUCCUUCUUGUUCAUGUAGUGCCUGCCUCUCUCCAAAACUCCUUCCCGCACUUGAUUGAGCAAAAGAUGCAGCUUCACUAAUUGAGUUAGGCACCUGCACUUCCACUGCAGCUCUGAGUUCAUUCUUCAGACCCAAAAGAAAUUGUGUCACCAGCAGCAGUCCUCCUACAUUCAGAUCAUACAAUUUAACCUAGCGGAGCGGAUUCAACUACUUAAGAUAUUCUUCCUCAGAGCCAGUCUGCUCUCUAUCAUCAUCUAUCGUCUAAAUAAGUAAAUAAUGAAACCGAUAUAGAUCUUGUUGAGGACCCCCAUCCAAGCCAUAGGAAAGAAAGCCACUGGAGUGCGACGCUCAAAGCAAAAGUAAGUAAUAGGGAAACAAGGUUCUAUUAGGCUUGCAGGGCUGCUGCUCUUUGAAAGACGAGGUCUAGUGGAAGAGGCGGGUCGGGCAAGUUGAGUACUCAGAUUCGGCGCUUGCUUGACAUCUCUCUUUGAAUCUGAAACCUGACAUGACCAUUGAUUCCGCCUCCAUUGCCGGAAAGGAUAACGAUGGAUCUUUAGCUAGCUCAUAGGCAGAGGAAAGGUAUACGUUAACAGAUAAGGAAAAGUGGAUCCGCUACCAAAUACGUUGUGGAGCCGUGUUCUCCAGGGAGGUUUGAGGGUUCUUGGGAUGGGUUCUAUGUUGCUGCCCAUUCAUUUCCUAUUAAUAAGGAGAUAUGUAAAGCCAGUCAUUCUAUUAAAGAGAACUUCCAGUGGCAGAUUUUAGAUGGUAAUUCGGUGCGAUUGUUAUAAGACCCUUGGCUCGGUGGGACUGCAUUGAAUAGAAGGCCUAUUCCUAUGAACAUGUCAGAGCUGUUGGAAGGUUUGUCUCUCUCCCACUAUCUCAUUCCUAAUAGGGAUUGGCAUCUUAGUUUAUUAGCUUUUUUUCUCCCUGAUGAGGUGGUGCGAGAAAUUUCAGCUGUACCAAUUCCUAGAAGCAUCUGUUCUGAUACUUUGACAUGGGGGUCUUCUGUUCACUCUGACGAUUAGGAUGAAGGAAGUAUACAGGGAGGUCUGCCAGCCAUUUAAUGAGGAAGGUGGUCUUCAUUUCUCUUGCGUAUGGAAGCUUAAGGUCAUUCCCUGCAUUCCGUUUUUUUGGUGGAAAGCUUAUUGGAAUAGACUUCCGUGCAGAGAACGAACUUCUUGUCUCAAGGAAUUUGCUCCCAUUGUCUCAGUGUUUUUUUUAUGUUUGUGAAGGGGUAGUGGAGGACAUAGACCAUGUUCUGGUGAAGUGCACAGUAGCUAAUCAAGUGUGGAUGGUUGGUCUUCCUGAACUCUUUGAGCUGGAGCUUUGGACUCUACGAGGUAUUGGGUGCUUGCCCUAUUGAGAGUAUCUUACAUUCUCUCUUCACCAGACAGAUAGACAAAUAGGCAAUCCGAUAGAAAGAUUAUGGCUUCCUUACUAUCAGCAAGCUCCCACAGGCGAUGAACUGCUUCUGACUUCUUCAUUCGGUUUGUAGCCAUACCGUAUAGAGUGAAAAAUGCCUUUUUUUGGAAGUAGCUAGAUUCAAGCAAGCAUCCUAGCAAAACGAUCUUUUGACAAUGGGCUCUGCCCAACACUGGGACUGACUGACUUUAUACAGAGAUAGAAAAGGCAGCAAUCCAAGCUCUUUUUGAAUCGGAUAUUGGAUAGGCUAAGCUAGGUGUAGCCCGCUUUCUCUACGGUUUUGCUGAACUUGUCAAGCCCGGGGGGCCUUUAGGGAAUUUUGGAGAAUGAUAGAUUCUAGGAUAACACGGCACUAAGGUUGAAAGGGAUGGCAUGGGUUAAGCAUCUUACUUUGGACCUUCGAGCUAAGUUAUUUAAUAAGGGGCUUCUCCUACUAAUUAAUUGGAAAUCCUUUUUACAAAUAUCCUCCUCAGAGCGCCCUGUAACCUUACCUUUUCUGAAUGGUACACUUUAAGACGUUCAGAAUAGAAGAAGAGCAGUCGUCGAUUGAUUGAAAGUGGAUUGACGGCAUUCAUCAGUUGAUUGAAAAUGGACUUUUCUUUUCUGAUCGAGCGAGGUCCCUUUUGGGCUUAAAAGUCCUUUGAGCCGUGGAAUCCCUUUUGUCUUGAUUUAGGAGAAUAGGCGCAUUGAUUAGGUUACGUGGUUUGAGCAAUCUGCAGGAAGUUUCUUUUCUAUUUAUUAUAUAUACCAUUCAUAUUCAAGUAAGACGGAUAGGGCAUAUUUGACUAGGAAGCAAGCAAAGCAAGUCCCUCCAUACCAGCUAGCAGUCUUGUUUAGGGAGUAUCCUUCUUUACUGAGUCAGGUUCCCGGGUGCCUAUGCGAUUAUUAAGGCAGGGUGCUACUGUACCAGUAGUAGAGUGGCUUGAAUCAAAUCGUUUGUCUAGAGAGGGUGUAGCGAUAACCAAAGCUGACUGUACUAGAAACUUGAGAUCCUGUAUAGGCAACUGGCCUUAGAAUAGUGUAUUGAACUACAGGACAGGAACGACCCAUAAUCAUUGGCGAAGAAGGCUUGGAAAAGGAUAAAACAUAUUGAAGAGAAGCUUUCACAAAGGCCAAUAGCCGAUAGCUGAUGUCACUAGCCUUAACUUCUUUAUCUACUUGAAAGCUGAUGAGAGUACGGCUUUCUUAAAGGAAGUGUCCGUGCCUAUGAUAUUUUUUCCUAGUAAAGUAAAUAAAAUUGGAUUCGCCUUUUUCCGUAUAUAUAAAGGCAAGGGAAGCUCUUCGUCGAGCUUCUUAUCCAUUGAAGAAAAAGACAGACUGAAACUUUAAGACUCAAACCUGCCCCUUUAUUAUUAUUAGUAAGUAAGAUAGGUUGCUUGAGCCAAUCCUUAAAUCGUGGGAGGAAAAGGCAUAAAAGUGAGCCCACCCGACUAAAGGGGAGAAAUUCAGAACUUCAAAAUAAUCGAAGAGUGGUCGGAGGUUUGAUAACCCAAGGCAAAUCCACUUCACGUUAUCUUGUUCCUGGUCAAGCUCCCGUACCCGCUCCUUAGUCCCAUCCUCCUCAUCGAAUUAAAGUAACGUAAGGUUUCGUAAGAAACAAUUGAAUAAGCGUAUCAAAGAGAAUGAGGUCUAGCACUCCGAAAUACCAUCGAGAAAGAGCAAUAGAACAAGGUUAGAAUAAGAUCUCCAAAAUGGGUGGGACAACCAAAGGCAAUUCAAUGGAUAAUCGGUAUACUUAGUGCGUAGGCAGGCCCAACGGUAUCCAAUCAAUGUAGUCGGCAGAACAAAGGAAACAGGAAUGAGAGAUAAGAAAAAAAUCUAAGUACCGAGAGGAAAAUAGAGCUCGAAUCCAUAGCAUUCUCCACGCACCCACCAUUCAUUAGCAGCGACCUUACCACACAUCAUUACCACCAACCAUUUCACUCGAAUCUGUAGCUUUGCUACCUUCGCAACUAGAGGAAAUGAAGAUAUUCUUCCUUUAUUUCUCUUUCUUGGCAUCAAUAACAAAAAGAACCAUAGGUGCACCAACCAAGGCAGAGAUUGGAGAUACUACGAUUGGAGUGCAGUGACCAUACCCGAGAUAGAUCUGAACCGACGGUUGCGGAGAAUAGAAUAGGUACAACGGAAAAUCAUGGGAAUAACGAGAGGGUACGUAGGGAACAUGGCUGACCAAGCUCCUUUUUCUAACGAUUGCAAAAAUUGGCCGGUGUUCUUCCCAACUGCUCCAAUAAACGUGCCUACACCCCAUUCCGUCUAGAAAAUGAUAUGAUUGACCGAUAGUACUUAUGAAACCCGGCACUGAACUAAGGGUUUGAUUUGCGACCUCCUGAACUGUUCGCAUUGCUCUCUUCGGUUCAAGGCUAUGAUGAAAGUUCAGAUCGCCUUCCUAACGUACGGAAUACGGAAUUUAGUCGAUGCUAAACCUCUGUUCUAGCUGAGACUAACGGCACAGAUUUCUAGUGCUAUAACAGAAACUGCCCUUAACGCGCAAAUGAAAGCCCUCACAACACUCUUUACCUGCAACUGCUCCCGCUUAUGGUAGUAGAUAAACAGGUGGUGGACAUGUAUCUGCAGCCUCUGCUGCUGGUAGAUUGACUGUUUUAUAUGGACUGAAAAAAAACGGAGGGUAGUGCUUGAGAAUGCUACUCUAUUCCUGGAAUUAGCCAUCCCCUUCUUUGACUAUUCGACCUGCUCCUCGAAGCAAGGAAGGGAAUGAAGAUGGCAUUGAAUGCCCUUUCCGCAAGAAGGAUAGGAGUUGGCUUACCGCAUCUACCUUCUCAUCGCGGGAUAAGGGCUGGGGCGUUAACUUAAGUACUAAAGCUGCUGGAGCGGCUGCCUUCGUUGAUUCCCCACGAAGGAAUCGGAAUAUCGCUACUUCCCCUUACUGCCCUAAGCGGGGGAGAUGGAUUAAAAACCUUGUGUGAAGGAAAGGCUGUCAAAGUCGUUGACCAUUAAUCCGGUUGAAGGACAAAUGGACAGUGAAUCAACGGAAUCGAGUUGUUCUAAGGAUUCGGAUUCGGCAGUCGAGACAUCUAUAUCUAUGGAAUUUCAAAAGAGAGAAAAGGAUCCGAAUCCGACCCGAGGACGAGCUCAAACCUUAGGGUUUGAAAAUAAGAAGUAAAGCUCUCGUUUACUUCAAUCAAAAAAGGUAGGUCAUAACACAGAUUGAAUUAGACCUUACUCAAUCACUCAUCGCUGGAAAAAGUAGAGCGAUUUCCUCGCAAAAAAAGCACGUGCGAGAUAUUCUUCCUUAACAGGGAUCUCAAUUGCGGGAAGAAGUACAAAGGGCAAAGGCAGAAGUGGAAGGGUCAAACUCCUCUAUCGGCGAAAGACAGGAAGGAUAAAAGUGUAAAAUCACUUGUUUGAAACAUCUAAAAAAUAGAAAUGGCUAUUAGAAGUUGUAUUUUCGGUGGUCAAAGGGAAGGAAUCAGAAAAGAGGGAAGCGCUCUCAAGGUAGAAUCAGUUCCAGGCAAGUAUGUCCAUUGAAAGGAAAGAGUCCCUAAACAAAACAGACAGGUUUUCAGCAAAUAAGACGGGUCCUGGUCUUCGGCAACAAAAGAAGCCGAAGCGAGAGCUCAAUCAAAGAACCUUUAUAGAUCCUCAUCAUCCUCAGGUUCUGGAUACACAGCGAGAAGGGAAUCUUCCUGUUCGAAUGGAAGAUUUUCGAAAGAGAGGGGAGAAAUCAAUCACAUGCGUGAGCGGAUCGAGCUAUUAUAUAAUAAGUAACGGCUGAAAAAGCUAUUCUUGGUAGAUCCACUUGUCAAGGCGCGGAAAGCCGUGUUCCUUCUCAGCUCACACUUUCCUGAUUGAUUUGAAAGACCCUACACACCACCGUAUCCUUGGCUUUCUUCCCACUUUCAAAGAACUUGCUAUCAUUCUUUCGAUUCUAUCUCCUCGCUUUAGGUCUUAUGCUUCUUAUUAAAGGGGUUAUGCCACUCCGAGUCCAUCAGUGUUGAAGGAAUGGACAGAGACAGGCAAAGACAAAGUACUGAUUUGACUACCGAUAGAGAGCAGAGCUAGAGACAAGAUGCCUAGGACCUGGAGGAGAUCCAUAAGAACCAAGUCGUGGAGAAGAUAGCAUCAAACUGGAGAUAAUAAACCUAACUCUCCGUGCUUUAAUCGAGAAUGGAUACAGGGUCGUCGAGCGAAACCUUUAUUAGGGGGUAGACCUACCUUGUUUUGUUGACUUAUUGCUUUCCAGCAAAGCGUGCCGGCCCUAUCUCUAAAGCACCAAACUUCCACAUUUUAGGAGAUGCCCUAUCUUCCCUUAAAGAGCCAGCUUAUUGAAUAGAGCUGUCACUCCUUACCUUACCUAAGACCCCUUCGGGAUAUCUUUUGAAAACCUUUUCUCUGAAAAGAAAAGAUGUUUGCGAUCCCUUGCCCGCUCGAUUAAAGAAAGUGGGAUCUGGCCUUGCAUUUUUUAGAUAGGGCUCCCUCACGGCAUUCUUGCUCUUGCAUUUGAAAGUCGAAUCAGGAUUCCAUCUAGAGAAAGGUUCCGAAUGGAACUAGUGAAUGUGUAUGCCGAACGUAGGCAGGUAUACCUGACCUUUGAUAUUAAGCUAUGAUCUCUCUUCUCUCUCUUGAAGUUCCCACAAAGCGACUCUGAACCUAAGACCGGGUUGUGGGAUGUCUUUUGAUAUUCUAAACUAAGAAAAACGCAAUUGGAUUUCUUUUUAUAUCCCUAUGAUAGGAAAUGAAAGAAAAGGUCGAGCUUAAGUCGAUUCCAUUGCGGAAAGAAAAGAGGCUCUCCCAUUCCCACCUGAUACGUCAAAAGCAAUUGACUAAUAAGGGGAACCAACCAGUCGAAUUCGAUUGAUUAUGUCACUCCGCAUUACUAUAAAAGGGCAGCAGCUUUCUACUAAAAUGGGCUUUGGCACUCCUUCCGCUAUUACUCGAAAUAAUAAUAAUAGUGAAAGGGCAGUCGAAUUUGUGACUACGUCAAAGGCUCGUUUCACUCGAAUUUAAAGGCUGUAACUCCUACUUAUUUCUAUUAAUUAAAGCUUGCCCAUGGCUGCUUUCUUCCCAUUCUUUCUUCUUUCCACUAAUCUAAUGGUUUCAUUCUCCCAUCGAGAGGUUAUGAUACUAGCAAGAGUCCUAUUCUUCUCCUCUCGAUCCUACCUUGGGUUAUGUUUGACAGGGAUGGUCAGUGAACUUCUAUUGGUUUCAAAGGAGGAUAGAGAUCCAUUGGGGAAGGCUCGAAAGGUUAUUCGAUAUCAAGGUUGACCCUCGACGCGCCGCAGCCACUAUUUUUACUCCUUUUAUGCAAUUAUGAACGAAACUUUCUCGAUUCCAAUGCAACUUAUCCUUUUGGAGUUGACGUAACAAACUACGCGAGCCUCCCGAUGAAGCCAACAGAAAUCCUAUCCGAAUACUAAAAAUAAAAGGCAAUUUCAUUAUGGUGGUAUACCAGCCGCCAGUUCUGGAACUUCCAGUUCCAAUCGGAGCAUAUAGAUCCGUAAAUGGAUUUGUAUGUAUAGCCACUUCAGUCGUGCUCCUCGUUUCUCGAAUGGAAAAAAAGUAUCUUCUUUCUGGGAACAUGCUAAACCAGAAAUUCUUAUGUUCGUGAUUCUUCAUCCACCGAUGCAGAAAAUCUUCCAGUUUUCCAUUCUCAUAUGAGGCAGGAAAGUUUAUGGGCAACAGGUCGGCACGAAGUGAUUCAUCAUGUUCAAACAUGAACCUUUCGCUCGUUGGGGACGGUUUAUAAAUCAUCAAAUUCCCACAAAUGGAAUGAGAAGUGGGUCCAUGUAAAUGAUCGAGACCUCGCAAACAACAACGUUCCUUCCCCAUAUGGAGUUCGGGACCCAAAGGCAAUCGUUGAGUGAACUGUAUCUUAUUCGUAUUAGUUGACCUAAGCCGCACCAUUAUUGCAGGGGUGGGGCUCGGCCUCCGAACCGUACGUGGGACGAGUUUCUGCCUCAUACAGCUCGGGCCGAAGACCGGGGAAGUUGAGGAGAGAUGGGGAGACCCAACUGCUGCCGGUCGGGACGGACAGGAAAGGGGGCGGGGAUAAGCUUGUGAAGAAGCAAGCUUAUUGCCCCACCCCCCAAAAACAAACCGAACCCAGCAAGAAAACGUAUCCGCUUUAGCAACAAAGCGCUCAUCCCUUGCUUGCUGCUUCGCGUUCUUUCUAUUCCAUCCCAGUCCAUUCCGGGAUAGGCGGCUAAUAUAAUAUGUGCAGUAGUCGUCGUCUGACCAAUCGGCCCGGACACCAGACCGCUUGUGCCCGCCCAUUCUGUCUCGCCCUAAAUGGAAUGGCUCUCUUAGUUACGCUGUGCCCCGACCCGAGUCCCCACGUCCGCUUUUAUCCGCCCGCAACCCGGCCAACACAACAUUAGGGCCGUCCCCCCCAUUCUAUGCUGACCCGGGCCGGGGAUCGCUUUUUGGGAAGCCCGUUCCCACCGCGCUCACGGCCCGGCUGGCCUGCCAGCGGUAGUGGGAAUUCUCCCGUUCCCUGGUCAAAAAAGGGUUGGUUGGAUGCGGGAUCUACUCCACGAGGAGCGGUACGGACGUAGAUGAUAUCAUCACGACCUCUCUUUGCGUACCGCUAGGGAUGCUUAACGCCACUUCGCCAACUGGCAUUACCUGCGCUUUCGUGUCUCUCAGUGUGGUCAGCACUGGGUGUUUCCGAGCAGCGAGGCUUACACCCAUUCGCAUUAAUUCAUCCAAAGUUCCUUACCCUUAUGCACGAAUUUUGGAAUAAGGCAUCUUCCUAUCAAGGUUAAGGAGUCAACUGAGCAUCUCAGCGGCGGGAUUGAAUACCCGGAUCGAAUCAGAGUUCACGCCGCCCGCCCUGAACAAAUAGAAUAGGAGGCGUGGGCCACAGGUCGCACAUAAGCCAUCGGGUCGCACGACAGAAGAACACCCAACAUAAAGAUGCACACUCCUCCAUGUGAAAUAGAAAGAUUCAUCUUCACUUUUUUGUAGUAGUCGUGACCAACAGCCAUCAGCAGUCGGCUCGUUGGUAAGGCGAGAGCUUCAAGCCCGCUUUCUGGUGGCACACCCCCCAAACAAGCACCACUCGACGAGGGGGGGGCGGGGAAAGCUACAGGCCCAAAACCUUCGACCCUUCUUUCUAUAUGGGGGUGCCCGGGGCACCUCAUCUUGUCAUUUUGUUGCUCAUUCCCCUUAGGCCGAAGUGUUUGGCCUUUACUUCGGAGCGCCCGCUCACGCUUCGCUGACCUAUCGCGUGGUAAAGAGAAGAGAGUACGAAAGAAUUGUAAACAGAGCAGACCGCAGAAAGAUUCUAAAUAUGACAAGUCCCCCAUGGAUUCGAUAAUAAGGAAAUGAAGAACGGGAACGAAACGAAAUAAAGCAUUUCUAGCGGAUGAGCUUCUCUCCAUUUUGUCUGGUAAUAGAAUAGGGCGGCUUGCUUUGACCAACACUCCACUUUUAGCUCUGUCCAUGGAGCGUAUGAAUUUCCUUAAAUGUAGAUAGACCAAAAAAGGGAAUAAAGGGAUAGGAAUAGGAAUUAUAGUACCAUUGGAAGAAGAGGCACCAGUGGGAACAUCUCUACUGACGAACCAUUUCAAUAGUACGGGUGCUGCCGUGCCACGGGGCACGACCAUGGAAGUAAUGAAAAAGAAGAAGUUCUGUAGUUGGACCAUCUGCUCUAUCCGUUCGAUUUGAGCUUCUCCAGAGAAGAUGAGACGCUAAAAAUGAAAGUGUUCGCAACGCAUACCGAAAAAGGGUACCUAUGUUGCCGACCAUUAAUGACUAGUUUGAAGACCAGGAGCAGGGGCACGUGCCAAGAAAGAUUUGUUACUUUCCCUAUGGUUUUCGAACGUUUUCAAUAAAACCUUCUCGUAGAAGUAUUUUCACAAAGUUUUCGGUAAUAUUAGUAGAUGCUAUUCGAACCCUUCCUUUUAUUAAGAUUAGAAUUCUUAUUCUUAUUAUUAUCUAAUUAUUCUUUUUUUUCAUGUAUAUGCGUCAGACACAAUCUACUAAUUGAUCUAUAUUCUGAUACCCUACUAUAUCAUAGUCUCUACUACUAGUAUUUUUAAUACCUCAGGAGCUCAUGAGACUCUUUUAGUGAAAUUCAUAAGUCUCAAUUCCCGAGCGAUCGCNUUAUCCGCUACAUUCAAAAGGGUCUGAGUGAGAUGGAUCUUGGAAGUCUGGUUUUUGAUUGGAUAGUGAUCUCGGGCACGAGUGGUUGAUCUUCGCGGGCCGUGAAUGGCCAUGGAAAGGAGUAUUGAUGUCAAUAUGUUCGAUCGAGAAGAUUGGACGAUGAAAGACGGAUCCUUUGUGGUUUGAAUAAUAGGCUGUGGUCUCGAUAUUGGGCUAUGGGCUGAUUGCUUUCUGUAUGAGCCUCUUGUGAUUGGGCUCUCGUGGGCGGAUUACCCGAUGUGUACUCAUCUUCCAACAAAGAGGAGAGGACAGGGCUACUGCUGGUCCACGCAUGAGAGCUCCUCUGUGUCUUUCCGGAAAUUACUUCGACUCGCAAAGGUGAUCCCAGCCCACAAUACAAUCAGUAGUUUACUUAACUGAUAUAAAGAGUUUCCCCUGCCUGCCCCUACUAUCAAUUGAUAAUACAUAAAUGAUCCGGGGCUAGUGUUGGGUAGCCGGGCCCACUAGAAUUCAAGUGCUUCUUAUCGAUUCAAUACGCCCUUAACGGAUCCCCGUGCUUUAUCUCCAUUGGGUGGAGCAAGACCCUUGUCCUAUCUUUUCUUUACAGAGCAAUAGAAAUGAUGGUUGCCCCUCGCUGCACUGACCAAUGAUAUCUCAGAAGAGAGAAAGACUUCUAUAACUUGCCAAUGAUAUCUAGUGGGCACUACGAACUCCAGGCAUACUGUACUUGACCACCCUACUUUGCUUUGUCCCUAUUAGGCGAAAUCAAUACUUACUUUCAAUUGGUAGAGAGGAAGAAGAGAACUGACACUAGUAAUAGGUUGAUGACUUCUCUUAACAGAACUGACACUAGUAAUAGGUUGAUGACUUCUCUGACUUAAUAGCUGGCCGACUUCUCUUCAUGGAUCACCGUUCUAUAUAGUUAGGCGCAGCAUCGCGUUUAACCACCUAUCCCUAUUCCCUCAAUCGAUACCGUCCAACUAUCCUUUUAUUGGGACAGCAGCAUACUUCUCGUUAGGGACAAUAGUUCCUAUACUUAACUAACCUCUGUGCGCAAUCACUGUUUGACACAUCAUUCUUUCAGCUUUUCGUUCUUGACGACUCUGUUUGACGGAGCCUGACCUUGAACUAGCUUUUUGCAACACAAACCACUAUCUUUACUUUCCUUUAGCAAUAGUAUCUAACUAUCAAUUCAUAAGAGUCAAACGGGUGGGUCCAUCCCAUCUAUCGACAGGUCCUGAUACCGGAUCUGGGAAACAAGCAAUACUCGCCGCAAUUCCUUAAUGAAAAAAAGACCUAUCUUCUCUUGAAAGACUGUCCUUUCCUCGCUUGUUAUUGUGAUAUCAAUGAAAGAAAGCUGGAUACUGACUUCUUCCCAAGAGCUCUAUCAGCCCUGAAUUCCUUAGCCAUACGACUCUUCCUUAGUUUCCUAAUGCUGGUGGCCCUAGCUAGUGGUGAGACGGGGCAUAUACUAUUCUCGGUCUUAUAACGAAGAGGUUGCCUAGUUUGAACCGAACACUGUACUUGAUCUCUCGUCCUAUCACAAACAAGUCUCUUCCCCCGAGUCCUAGUAGACUAGUCCAAGUAGUCCGGGACAAUAGCGUCCCGUCUCUUCGCUGACCCCUGGCACACAAUCACUAUAAGACAAAGCAAGACAAACCUCUCUUAUCCUUCUCGGCUAGAAGUUACAAGUUUCCUGUUCCGGUUUCGGCAUGAGGGAAGUGCCUGAAAUCGAUUCAAUUCUUAUCUCCGAUUUCGAACUCCGGCUGGAUUCUUAUGACCAAGAGCUAUUUUCUUGGUCAGAAGAAUGGAAGGACAACGAGAAGAUGGUUCGGUUGCUCCUGCUGGAAUAUUCCAUUUAUUUAAUACUCCGACUCGCGUAACCCCGAAUGGCAAUGUUGUUAUUGCGGUUGGUCAGAUCAAUAAGACAACAAGGGAGUCAGAAUAUUCUGAUAAUAGCAAACAGGGCUUUGGAAUCUAUGGAAGGAGCCUUCAAUGCUUCUCCAGUGUCAACCAUUAGUCGAUAACAGAAUGAAAUGCCACAAUUAAGUUGAAAAAGAGAGUCAUUAAAAAGAGGCAUGCUUGAAAAAGAGUACAGAUAAUAUGUUAUGGAUGUGAGGAGCCUCACCCAGUACUUUUCUUACUAAACUAAAAAACUCUACUCUCCUUUCACAGCCAACCCACCCAUUGCUAUUUCGAGCUCGAUAAAAAGGAAAGUUCACGUGCCAAUCCUUACCAUUGGUAACUGUAAUUACCAAGCCUAAUCUUUCACUGAAUACCGAGUAAAGCAAGCAAGAAAGAGGGAAGGAGCAGCUGUUUUCGAGCUAGGCUCGAUCCCUUUUUCAUCCACUUCUCGCUAUUUUUAAUUCUACUUGAAUUAGUUCUUCCUAAGUUUAGUGAGGUGAGUACUGCAUCCAUAACUAGAGGACUUGCUUUUCUGCUUGGCUCCCAGGGGAAGUUGGAUUGGAUAAGAGGAAUUGAAGCGCAAGGAAGGCAGUCGGUAUUCAAACAACUAUUCAGAGUUCCCAACUCUGGGUAAAGGAAAUCUGUACUUGACGACUGAACCAAAUCCUUUGCCUUUAUUUAUUCUAUUAUUUUUAUAUAGAUCAGCUGAAAACAAAACAAAAAUACUACUACGUUGGGACAAUGACCCACCUUUCUCUGCUCAACCUGUCAUCUUCUCUCCUCGCUCCCUGGGACAAAUAAGACUAUUUAUUAAGUGAUAAACAAGAGAAACUAGUGAUAUUAUCUAAGCUUCUGGCCAUGUCUGAUUGGCAUUCAAGUCUGCCUUCCAUUGCUUGAAAAGGCCUAGCACCGUAAGUAGCAAUUGGCUAUGUCCAAACUCAAACGUCGUAUUUUAUCUAAGCACAGGAGUCGUAAUAAGGAAAGAAGACAUAAGAAUGGGAAGUAUCCGCUAGUUAUAACGUAGUAUAAAGAGAGCUAUUUCAUGGAUCUUGGUCACAAUAAAAAGAAUCCAAUAAUGAUCUAUCAACUAAAUGAGUUUAUUAUAUAAUCCCGUAUCUUCAAGGUUGUUAAGAUGAUUUAGUAGAUGUGUCGGUAUCGUUUUCAUCUGCCGUUGGGAGUGACUGCUUUGCUAAUCUAUCCUUUUAUCCUUCUUUUCGGAGACAAGCACAUAUUACCGUAACCUAGUGAUUAAUAUAUCCUGUUGGUACUACUUCGUCGAGCAAUCAAUCCUUUUUCCAUUCUUGUUCUGAGGUUGUCAGCUUCCUCCGAUGGCACCACUUGUACUCUCUGUCGGAAUCUGUAGACAUAGUUUCUGGGCGUCUUUAAAAACUGAUCGACAUAGUUGUCACACACAAACCUGCGCAACGGCUUUGGAGUAAAAGAAUCUCCUGCCCGGUCACACACAUCAUCUCGAGCGCGGAAUCUACUACUCUAACAAGAUACUCGGCUCGGGUAAAUCAUGCUUUCGUUAUGCGAGGAAAGUGAAAGGAAAGAGGGAAAGGGAGACACUGGGCAAUCCGGAAUCGAUGAAAUCACUGUUUUUUCGCCUUGUAAUAUGUCCGGUUACAUUCCAAAGAUGAAUCAGACCAGGAGAUAGAUAAGCGCUAUGGCGGACACAUGGAAUAAGAAUUUGAAAAGUAAUGAUCAACUUUAUGGAUCCAUAGGUAGAUUCACUUGUGAAGCUAUGGGAUGGGACAAGAUUCAAAAGUACCAAAAGUAAGUUAAGUGGGACGCUGAGUUCAUUGCUGCGAUCGAGGGUCCAAAGCUUUGGGAGAAGAGGGGAUCUGUACCUUCAUCUGAAAACUAUUCGCCGGUUGUCCGCAUUCCUCUCCUCGAGCGAAAGGUGUUCCCACGCAAUCGCUAUCGCUGUUCCUACGACGUAGUCAAUACGCAUUGGAAUAAUGGCAUCCCCUCCACCAUAGUAAGAAGUAACGGGUCUACGCCCUGCUUCCUUGUUCGGUUCUGGUUACGGGAACGGUUGACUUUCGAAAUAAAAUACCCUUCUUCCCUGUUUUGCAAAUUCACCUAGAGCUAGCGAAGCGAGUCCGUUUCCUAAGGACGAGCGAUGAAGAGCUUUUUAGAAUUAAAUAUUGGUCUACGCCCUCCUUUGAUGCCCAGAGGAAGAAAAGCGAAGGCAAAGCAAUGGCAUGGGCAUGAAAGGCUACGUAAAUAAGUACUUCCCCGAAAGAAAGGGGGCAGUCUAAGGCGGGACCUAUCCACUACUUGUGAAGUAAUAGAAGAGAGGAUUUCUCGUAUCUAGCGGAAGUACCACUACCAAUGCUAGGCUCCGUAGAAAGGACAUCGGCUCCUACGCAUCCUACGCAUUAGCGAACCUACGAUAAAUGAAAUACGAAUUAUUAGCGCUAUUAGGGACGAGCUCCUGCUUCCUCGGUUUCCUAUCCGAUCAGAAAUCCUAUCCUUGCUAAAACCAAUCCAAUCCACGAAAAGCAUCGUAUUGUAACACUUGUUAAAAAACAAAAAGUGUUGUGAAUUCGAUUGAGUUCGAAAGCACAUUCCCUUGCUAGAGAUAUUCCUUUUAUUCAUCCCGGAUUGUGUGAAUGCGUUCACACCUAUCCCGAGUGGGUAUAGUUACGUGGUUAAGUAAUCCCUUCCUAUGCGAGGUUCAUUGUAUGAGAGAACAUAAGGAAAGGCUUGAUACAUCCAUGUCUAGCUCAUGUCGAUCUUCGUGUCAUUUUUCUUUCAUUAGCUCAGUAGGAUAGUCCACGUUGCUAGGAUGUGUGGGUCUAGUCAGGUCGUGACCCUCGAUCAAACCAUCCUAGCAAUGCCCUCUUCUCAAAACAGGCGUUCGAUGUACGGAUCAUCGCCGCUUGUCUUUGGGGGUGGGAUUUUGGAAUUGGAAAUUGGAAUUGGAAGGUUUGACAGCGCGGCAAAUAAGUAAAUCUCUUCGACAUAGCUGAAGAGAAAUCGAGAUUGUGUGUUUGGAGAGGUGUAGAUUGUAGAUUCCAGCCGAGAAGACCAGGAAAAGAUAAGGAUAAAGAAUGUCAUAUAUCUCAGGAGCUAGAUCACUUCCCGAUGAACAAGUCAGAAUUGCCUCAACAAAAAUGGAUGGAAUUGGACCGAAAAAAGCCAUUCAGCUUCGUUAUCGAUUAGGUAUCAGUGGGAACAUCAAGAUGAAUGAGUUAACUAAGUAUCAGAUCGACCAAAUUGAACAAAUGAUAGCUCAAGAUCAUGUUGUUCAUUGGGAAUUGAAGAGGGGAGAACGAGCAGACAUCGAACGAUUAAUUUCUAUUUCUCGUUAUCGUGGAAUUCGUCAUCAAGAUGGAUCGCCCUUACACGGUCAACGAACUCAUACUAAUGCAAGGACUGCUCGCAAGCAAAUUCGGAAAUGAAAGAAGGCUACCGAAAGAACAAGCAACGGAUUUCGCGCUCAUCCCUUGCUAAAGCGCAUACGUUUUCUUGCUCCUUGGUACUUGUCUGAUCAAUCACACUGUUCAUUAGUUCACUUGAUUUUUCGUUCGAUGUCUUGAACCGCUUACUAAUCACGUAUACGUAUAGUAGGCCCCCUUCGCCACUCCACGUCUGGCCCGUCUUGGUCUCGCUCACUUCGCCCGCCUAUCGUAUCGGCUCGGCUUCGUCCGUCAAGCGACAGCUUCUGCCUCUGACGGCUUCACUAUCGCUCAUGACUGGUAGUAGUUGUCUCUAUGUAGUAGUCGGCCUUUGUUAAGCUUCGCCAGAAGCGACUAGUCGCUUCCCGAAUGCCUCUUUCUUGUACUAAUUAAUGUGUAUGGUCUAGUCUUUCCAAUGCCUCCUUCCUUGCCGCCAACGCACGCUAGAUGGAGAGUAAGCAAGCUACCUUGCUUGCAUUGCAUUCGUUAAACGGUAGCUUCCGCGCCCUUCCUGCCUGCUUCAAUUGAUGUGAAUGAUCGUGUCUUCGACAUCAAUUUCAGUCUGAUUAGAUAUGUCAUUGAAACAAAUCUGUUUUGUCUCUGUUUUCUUUUCGGAUGAUGAGGAUGAGCCAGCCGAUCCUAACAUAAUUUUGGAGGAGCCGGACGACGAAGCCUCAAAAUCAGAUAAAGAUGUCUCCGACGCGACCGGACUUCCACUAGAUUUUUAUAGGGGUCAGGAGGGAAAAGAUAUGCUGUUUUCUAUCAGUCCCAAGCGGAUACUCCCCAGCUUCCACGGUCCGCUUACCGAGGAAGAGAUGCGGGAGGACCCAGGGCCAGAGCAAGUUGGGUUGGGGUAUAGAGCCGUAAGCGCGGUGGGGGUGACAGAGGAUGUGCUCGUACGGUUCAUAGUUGGGUAUGAUAUUCUCGUGGAUUGUUGGGAACGUCCUCUAUAUUCGAAAUAUGCCUUUCUAGGAGCAUUACGAUCUGCAGCUCAAAUGGUCCCUUAUGAAGUCUCUAUUGGUCUUAUUCUUAUUGUGCGCCUUGUGAGCACGUUUGGAUCCGCGAAGGCAAUCGCUCGGAUCUUCCCCUAACCCAACCCGGGAACGGACCGGAGGGAACCGCAGCAUGAGGAAUGUCCGCGUCUCGUCGCAAGGCUCAUUUUGAGUUUUGGGUCAUAGGGCGGGCAGUGCAGUCCGGGGCACAAGGGUCCUGGUACUACCCAGGUGCGAAGAACCCCGGAGGCGACUGCAAUGAGCAAAAAUGUAACUCACCGGCCUAAACGACGAGCAAACACUCGAACGUGAGAGCAAGGGAUCACCCAACGAAUGGACGAGCUCCAAGGAGGGAGGAGAGAGGGAGGCAAGAACCAUGCUUUCAGAGAAGUGGCGGUCCGAAUCCACUCUGACAAAAUAAAAUAACAGACUAAGCCGUGCCGUAAGGGGGGCAUUCUCCACACGGGACGGGGCCAAGGCCUUCAUGUAUGGGUGACAGAUCGGCCAUAGGAGUACUCCGGGAUAUACACCAGGGCAACUAAUGUCGAGCAUACGAUGAUGCCGCCCGUUUUCAUUUCGUGAAAGUCCCCGGCAGAGGAAAGGGCUGUAGGUGAUGGCGCGUUCUGCUUCUUAGGGCGAUGAAAUCGUUCCUAUGGGAUCGUGCGUGGCAGCUGGUAUAGAUGAUGAUGAAAGGCGGGCCGCUUGAACCGGGACCUAUUCUCAUAAUAGGCAGCAAGCAAAGCUAAAUAGGAAAGGGGGCGACUGAUGACUGCCUUUUUCGUCAGAAAUCCAAAAGGGUGGAAUGUGGAGCUAAUAUGGCUGGCUACAAGUAUAGCCAAAGAAAGAUGAGACGAGACGGACUGUCAGAGGACGCAGCGGGACUACCAGGGGAAAGCCCGCCCCCGCUAGCUAACAUAGAUAUCUAUUCUCGGUGCGCAUAUUCGAGAUUUAGAAUCUCUUUCCGACCAGGCCAGGCCGAAUCGGGCCACCACUUGGGAUGGGAAUGGCUCAGCCCACAUGCAUCAUUUGAUGAAAGCACUCCAGUCCAGUCGCCUCCGAUCAGUGGCUUGUCAACCACCGGACCGUAAUUCCUCACCAAAUGCCCCUGCGUUGGGGCAACACAGCACAUGACUAGUUCGCUCAAGGACCACACCCUCUCGAGAGCAGGAUGCCGGCCGAGAUGGAGCGCCAACCUAGACUUUCCUUGGGCUUGCCUUGCCCCAACAUCUAAAUAAAGGGCGGGCGCCGAAAAGGAAGCAGUGACGCCUUUUCGACGAAAGCUUAGCUUGGUAGGCGCAGCUUACUCACCCUACUCCCUUAGACAAUGCAAUGCUCUGAACACGAAAGUUUGCAGUUCAGCCCUCUUCUCCCAUGCAGAGUCGCAGGCAGCGCCUCGGAUAAAAGCACGGACGAGCCACAUGCAGGGAAACUUGCACGUGUGGUUCUGGCCGGGGACCCCGGUAUACUGUACUAAUAUGUGUAGGUCCCUGUAAUUCGAGUGAGAUUGUCAUGGCGCAAAAGCAGAUAUGGUCCGGUAUUCCCUUGUUCCCCGUAUUGGUUAUGUUCCUUAUUCCUCGUCUAGCAGAAACUAAUCGAGCUCCGUCUGAUCUCCCAGAAGCGGAAGCUGAAUUAGUUGCAGGCUAUAAUGUAGAAUAUGCGCGGGAUGCGAUCCUUAAUAGUUCACUGUUGGCGGAAGCCAAUGUCUCGGGGACUCAUUCUGACUUAAACAAGGGGUGGGUCUUUACCAACUUCCAAAUCCAAGAUUUAGGGAAAAAAAAGAGGGGCAGGGCACUCUUCAUUCUUCAUUCGAAACUCAUGAAUGUCGGGUCGGAGGUUUUUGCCUUGUUAUCAAAAAGGGGAGUUGGGUAAAGCAAACUCCCUCCUUGGACGAGCACGGGGCUUAGUCAAGUAGAACCGGGUUGCGCUGCUUGAUGCUCCGAUCGAAAACAAAUCAGUGGGGCCAUGCCGGUACGACAGAAUAUGCGUUAGAAAGGUCAAUCCCUCCCCCCCUUUUUGAUUUUUUUAAUGAAAAACCGGGCCGAACUUCUAAAAAGCAGCCCACCCGCUUCCAUAGAACAAUAUCGCGGCAACGUAGACCUAAGUGGAUUUAUUGGAUCCUGGGGAACCAUCACAAGUACGGCCGGCCUAUAGAACGAGAAUGCCGUGUCGUCCAGCGGAGCUUAGAAGAAGGUGACUCGGAGCCUAAGGAAGGUGACUCGCGCAGACAGCUGACUCCUUUUCAAUAGAAAGGAAUAGCCAAACCUACCCAGCUGGCUGGUCAAUCUCAGUGAUCUUAUCGGCCGGCAAAGCGGAGACGGACGACCACGGUCCCGACCUUACCAGCACCGUAGGUUUACUAAUCAAUGAAGCCCCUCAACCUACUAUCUUUUCUUACAAACUCAACCAAGCCUAACCAAACCCCAUGCUCACGACAUGUUCUUGAUAUUGAUUGAGUUGGAGGGAGUCAGAGACUACCACGGAAUCCUUCCAUAGUCACCCCGGUGACCUUCGUCACCAAAGCGUCACGACAGUUUCCAAGACCCCUCAUAUAAUCUCCAGUGGGGAUCAGUCGGAGCACGUAGGAAUGCCGACCACUACAUAAGCCACGUCUGGCUGAGGCGAGCAGCAAGCGGGGGAGAGUAUUUUGAAGUACAAGAACGUUGGGGUGGGACGCUAGUACUUAAACUAGGGUUGCUUCUUAGCGCUAAUCUUGCGUUUUUCAGCAGUUAGUUGUAGCGCGCCUUCCCUCCUUCUCUCAUUUCGGAAAGAUUUGGCAGUAUUUUCUUAUGAUGACCUGGUCGAGAGAGUACGAAACAUCGGUGUAAAAGAUUGAGUGGGAUGGUUAUAGUAAGGGGCGAACCAAGUGCUUGCGCGAAGAAGCGAAUCAAUCAGAAUGGAGACAAGGAAAGGAGGAGAGGCGAAACUCAACAAAAAAGGAAAAGGGAACUCGACCGACUAUCAUGAGCGAAGCGAGGGAAUUCCUUCUGAUUGGAUCCCUUAGGAGAGAGACAAAAGGUAUUAUGAAAUAGAAUCAGAUCUUUGACGAUCCAGUAUUAGCUAGCAAGUGUAUGGACUCAGACUUUGAUGACUCCCUAGUGGCCAGGGAAGCGUUAGCUUCACCCUUUGAACGUCUCAUUUACUCUCUCUAGCUCUCGACUUUACGUAUAGGAAUUUCAGGUACAUUGGUCGAUGAAAGUGAACAUCUAUCUUAUCUUAUCUUACGCCACUUACUCUAGUUUUACUUUGUGGAAGACGUCCGAUUGAAUGAUCUCCAGUGGGUUCUAUUACCAUGUGUACCCAGGCCUGCUUCCUUCUUUUUUACCAGCCUCUCUGCUUCUGUCAGUAUAGAGGAAAGUCUUCAAUCCCUUGAGAGAAAUCAAAAAAUGGCCAAUAAAAGAUACCUAGCAUGACACAUCAGCUACGCCAUCUGAGCCUGUCCACUUGCUAGUCAGGAAAAAUAACCGCUCCGUUCCGUGGGCUUCUUUCGCUGCUCUCUUCACGCUCGCUUUACGAGUGCAACCAAGUUCAAUAAACUGUUCAUGCUAAUUCAUAGACUAUGCUGGUUUCUAUCUAAGAGUCCUGUGAGACGCUUCCUUCUCAUACACAUCUGAAGCAACGUUUGAUCAUCCGCAUUAGAGAGUUUUGCAGGUCCUUGAGAGAACGUUAUCCAGUCAGUUAUGACUUGACCAUGGUCUGAGGUGAAAUUGGUCCUGGUCCAUAAAACGAAAGGUGCUGGGCAAGCGCAGAGAAGUCGUCUGAAGGGGAGUUCCAUAGGAAUGUUCAACUUCGAUCAACCUUGGUUUGGUCCCAUGCCUAAAAAAGAAAUAAGGUCCAAAACAAAAUAGGGGUGAUAUAACCCACUGCUCGCCUAAGAAUGUACUGACGUAAUCCCUACUAUGGCUUCCCGAAGGAUCCAGCUGCUAAGAGGGUCCGAGCCAUAACGGAUUGAUGUGACCGUAGCGGCGACUGGAAUCGAUCUGAAUGAGGCAGUUAUGGGACUUUUCUUAUAUAACAAUAUAUAUGGAGGAAGGAUUCAAAAAAGGUGGGGGUCAAGGUGUAUAAUACGAGCUCCACUUUCAGGCAAUGAGCUAGCUUAACCCUGAUUGCUUAAGGUUUAAUACAGUCAUGUUGGAUCUGCUACUAAGAAAGGAAGAGAAAGACUGAUUGCGACAGCUCAACCGGAUGAGACAUCUCUUAUUUACAGAACUGUGCCAACGUGUGCCUACAUUGUUUGAUUUACCAGUUCCGGGUAUUGGAUUUUGGAAUAGAAAGAAUGAAACUAGUACCAGCUUAUCGCCAACCGUGCUUUCUACCAACUCCGCCAACCCCAGACGGGAAUAUUGAUUGCGAUUUAGCCGCACCUGAGCCCGCAACUGCUGCCUCUACUCCGCCUACUUCUUGUGCCGACUUCGCCAGCCUCGCGGGGUACCGAUUUCCUCCUGCUUUGUGUGCGUGCCAUUGACUCCUUUAAUGGGUCGAAACCUACUUAGUUCUCAUUUUUAUUUCGUCUAUACAAGAAAAGAAGGAUUUGUGUUUAGCAAGACAGAGAAUUGAAUAAGUAAAAAUAAAGUAGUGUGUACCCUUUACCGAAAAGCAAAUAUGACAGAUAGGGUACGACAUAUUGCUUAUUCCUGAUUGAUCUAGUUGACGACAGUUGCCUUGUUGGACCGAUUGUGGAUUGGAAUAGAAGUUUCUUAUAUACAGAUAUUCGUGUUUACUGAUUUCGCAUACUGGGAAUGGAACUUGAUGUAACCCAUUGGAAACUCUCUUUGAGACUCAUUAUCUGUUAUAUACGACAGGCUAAUUAAGUCCUUAAAUUUAAGAAAGGAGUCUUUCCUUACUUCCUUACACAAAACUGUUAUGUUGUUAUGCUGCUCGUGCAAUCAAAACUUAGAAUAGAAGAAAAAGAGUUCCCUCGGGACCCAUCCUCUUCUCCUUCGCUUGUGUGACUAUCAUGAGAAGAAUUCCAUUCCAAGAAGUCAAAUAACAAGAAAAAGAAACGAGGUCAAGAUCCGUUGUUACCAGUACCGACGAAAUGGAGAAAGUGUCCUCCGGGAACGCAAUCUACUACAUUAGUUGGUGUAGCCAAAGAAGAGGAUAUCCCCUUUUUUGACCCAUUGGUCUUCAGACCAGACCCAUACCAUAGCUACAAACACUUUUGAGUCGGAGGAGACUGGCCAGAUCGCCUUCUUGAGGCUCUCUGGGCUUAUCGGACGUCAAUCUGUAUAGCCACUGGUCCCCUUCUCCUUAGUCGUUGGCAUGGACGCCAUUCUUCCCAGUGAACUCGACGAUUCCUUCCCUGCGCGUUCUGCUCGACGACGAUAUGACUGAUAAUCAGAAGCGAGAGGCUCUCGAAACUUGACCUCCUCGAUUCGAUCGAUGGGAGAAAAAAAAGGUUACGAGCGGCAGAGCACGCACAAGUCUAUCAACGUCAACUCAGCCGCGCUUUGGACCGAUCCUACGAAUAAGAGGCAUUAACAAAGCAUUUAUGAGACACCAUACUUUCAAUAGGCAAGGGCCAGCCCGAAGAUCAACGGGAUCUUUCUCCAAGCUAAGUUUCUACCCCCGAGGGAACCGGCCACGAUGCGUGGGGGUAUCGGUGCUGAUAAACUCGUCUCCGCUCAUCUUACCUGGAAAUGGAAAUAAAUUCUGGUAGAUUACCUACCUCAUCUGAGAUGAAGGAAUUUCCUACUUAAGAUUCGUAUGCCUAUUUUGCUGUUGAUGUGGAGGAAUUGGUACUAGCCUACUCGAUAUGUUCCUUGCCUGGUUCGCUAUAGGAAGUGCUUUCAGCAAAUGAGGAGGGGAAUAUUCAUAGGUAUGAAUCUUCCGUCAAUGGUUAAGGUUGAAGUGAAGGCAAACCUUCUUUGAAUUUUGAUGCCUAAUUAUUUAGCUCUGGUAUUGAGAAAGAAACCAUUCAUACGGCCAGGUCACAGGAAUGCUUCUUCGGCUUACAAUUCCGAGUCAACAACCGUAACUCGAGCACUUAGCCCUAGCUCUUGCUCUUUCCUUCCUUGCAACGGGCUGCCUGUGUGCCUACUAAUAUUUACUUACCUCAAUGGUGCGCUAACUUUAGAACGAGGAUUUGCCAAAUUCGUAUUAGGGGGGGCUAUGCAGCAAUUCGACCACUGUUACUGUACUAGAUAUCUCAGGCUUAUCCUAAAGAAAUUAUGGCUUCGCUUCUCUUCUUCCUGGUGAUGGAUAUAGUCUCGAUGGCUUUGCCCAAGUAUGGCAUAAAAGUAAAAUAGGAUAUCCUUCAAAAGGGAAUUUCAUGUGUGAGCACCUUGCCUCUUUUAGGGAAGGCUAUUUACCAAGUGAGUCUGCGCAGCAUGCUACGAAACAUAAGAAUCAUUUGGAAUCCCAUUUGCACCCGGAUUCAGCUUCUUUCGAACUAGCAAAUGCACUUUCAGAGCCAACAACGGAUCGGCUUGGCCCAUUCCCCAUCUGGGGAAGAAAGAGUACCUAGAUCUGCAUCUACUAAGUAUGCCCUGAAAUUCAUGUUAUGAUCCGGUCUUUCCCAAAGCUAGGGCUUCUUUUCCCAUCCCUAUCCUCCGCGUCAACCUGUACCGGACCCAGAGUCAAAACUAAAAAGAGAAUGAAGUCUCGAAAACUCUUAAUUAAUAAAUAUUCGUGCGCCUACUUUGCUUAUCCUUCUCUGCCCCAUUAUAGAUAGUUGGGUAGAGCGAGGGAUAUCGGGGAAGGAAGAAAAACCUCCACUUGUUUUACGGAUUCACAUACUGGUUGGUAUGUUCAUCAAGUUCUCGAUUACUACUUACGGUGCCCACUGACUCCCUUUAAUGGUACGCAGUCCCUGCCAAUUUCUCGAAAGAAAGUGCUAUCCACUGAGGGGCAAGCGGAGGAAGUGCAGAAAUCGCGUAUCCGUCUUAUCCUCGAUGGAGUACAGUGGCUAUAGAAAGAAAGGAAGAGUUCGAUUGCUUGGAGAAGGUAUUCUUCUUGGUCGACGGGACCUCCCCUCUUCUUACCCAGAAAAGGAAACGAGUCACUUCUUGCGGAAUGAUAGAUCCGUUUGUCUUGCUCUACCUAAGCAGGAUUGAGUACGAUGAUGCUCCCUACCUAUGUGUACCUCAUACUUUUCGGGCUAGAAAUGCCAUAUAGUUAAUGGAACUAUCCAUUUUGGUCGAUCUUGAUUAGUAGAUUGCCAACUUCUUCUUCUUCUGAUAGGAAUCUUCCCUUUAUUAGGUGGCUAUAGCAUAACGAAACAAGUAAAGUAGGUUAUUCUUUACUAAGUUGGUUCCUCGGCUCGAUUGGUAAUGCAGAAAUCACCUGGGCUUGCAAGCUAUGUGAUGUGACAUACCUGGCUCAGCUCAAUCCUACGACGAAUACCUUCUGCGCCUACGACGAAUACCUUCCUUUCCUUAGCGGAACAAACACUCCUAUCUCCUGCUAAAGCUGGAUGCGCGCCGGCACACGGGCCAAAGAGGACUAAGGAGAAGGGAUGCCAUACUAAUAGACUGGGCAAGCAAAGCAAGGCAAGCGUUGAUGACUCUCGAUUGAAAGGUUAAGAGAAGGAUGCGCAUGGCACGUGGAAUAUUCCUAUCGGAAGAACAAUCAGAAAAUAAGGAGAUAGUGAGUUGGCACUUUUCACACAAGAACCGCUUUUCGUAUUAAGCACGGGAGUCGUAAGGAAAGACCUCUGCGUAGCUAUCAGAACGAAUUAAUGAACGAAAUAAACGAAUUCCGGUGAAACCAAGGCGAAUUUAUGAGCCAGCAGUGGGAAAAAGAUGCCAAGUAUUGAGAUGCAACAUUAUGAAUGGUGCGAUCCGAAGUCUUACUAUUUACUCAAAAUUGACUCAAAUGGUUGACUGAACUUCACAGAGGACUAAAGCCGGGAACUUAAACUAAUGGUUUUGCCUUUCCACUUCCCAAUUGACUCUCAUAAAAGGCUAGGCUACCUCUUCACAUCGCACCUGAUCCCGAAUCAUGUGCUCUGUUCAGGGGAUCAAUAGUGGCUAUUAAGCUUUUCCCUUUCUAUAUAUUCUUGAGAAUAAGUAAAUACCAUCCUUUUUCCUAUCAGCAUCUCUCUAUCUGACAGUAAAUAUUGCUUUCAAUCGAUCAGGCACUAGGUUAUUAAAGUAUGGAUAUGCCAUAUAAUAAGGGAAAAGGCCUCAAGUUUUUUUUAGCGCAAAAGAAAAGCCGAUUCCAAAUUUUCUAUUUCCCGGCAAGUCUAUGAGAGUCCUAUUACGGAUCCUCUGAUCUUUAGCUUGAAUGGUCGUGUUUUUAUAUAAUUAGGUCUUUCUUCUGAGCUCUUCUAUUACGGUACGGAAAAAUCAAACCUAUCACUCUCAAAGAAUGGGUAAAAAGAAUUCAAGCUAGGGGAGCCUACACUCUCUAACUACCUAUACUACGCCCCCAUUGAUUGGAAACCCUCGGGGAAAAUGAUCCCAUAAACAAAGGAAUUAUACAGUACGAAAUAGCAAAAAAACAGACUAAUUCGAUUCUAAAAAAUCGAUAAUAGAUAUUUUAUUCUGCUCAAAUUGUCCCGACAAGGAGAGAUAUUCAAUAUUUGAAUCAGAUUGGAUUUCGUAGUAUACCAAUGUGAGCCAAACUAUUACUAUUUCAUCUAACUUGAAUAACCAAGGACUGAAUUUGACUAUGGAUUCUGAUAACUCGAGAAGUUUUUAUUUGGUUAUGAUCCAAAAAGAAAAAAGAAAGGUUUAACAAGCCAUGAGAAAAUAGAGUAAAGUAACCAUACGUUCUGUUUGCAUAACGUGUAUACGCCACGCCAUACAAUCGAAAUAGAAACAUGGGACGAUUCCAGAAUUUUUAAUAGAUCCGUGGGGAUGAGAGAAGUUGUUGUUGAGAAAUAUGAAAUUGGAAAGGAAGUCAAACUCCCUAUGGAACCUGUGAUCGGUUGUACCUGUACUUUAGUGAUACGAAAACUCGCUAUUCACUCAGUUUCUGGUCAAUAAUAAGAUUAUGUAGGAGAGAUGGCCGAGUGGUUCAAGGCGUAGCAUUGGAACUGCUAUGUAGGCUUUUGUUUACCGAGGGUUCGAAUCCCUCUCUUUCCGUUUCUGUUAAUUCACCAACGUUACCGACCACAAUGAAAUUUCUAGUAAGAGGAAAAUCCGUCGACUUUCUAAAUCGUGAGGGUUCAAGUCAAGUCCCUCUAUCCCCAAUAAAAAGCCCAUUUUACUUCCUAACUAUUGUACCAACCUCUAUUUUUCAUUAAUGGUUCAAACAAGAUUCACUAUCUUUCUUAUUCUACUCUUUCACAAACGGAUCCGAACUGACUUCUUUGGAUCUUAUCCCAUUCAUACAAAUGAACAUAUUAUAGUAUAGGCAAGUAAUCCCUAUUAUUAAGUAAGUCAUUCACAAUCCAUAUCAUUAUCCUGAUAUUUACUAAGUCCAAUUUGAGAAUACUUUUUUCUUUUUUAGUCCCUUUAAUUGACAUAGAUACAAGUACUCUACUAGGAUGAUGCACAAUAAAUAGUCAGGAUAGCUCAGUUGUAGAGCAGNNNNNNNNNNNNNNNNGGUAGGGCAGAGGAUUGAAAAUCCUCGUGUAACCAGUUCAAAUCUGGUUCCUGGCACAGAAAAAAGGAUCUGGAAAAGAAGAUAGGAAUGGGGCACCAAGGAAGGAUUGUAGGUAGGGAUGCCCUUAGAUCCGUUCUCAAUAGCUUGUGAUAAGGCAAGAAAGCUAGUAGAUGUAUAUUCGUUUCUCAUGAUAAUGAGCGAAAAGGGUGGAAUUGUGACCCGAAUACCAACCCUUGCUAUACAUCCCGAGUGUGGUCUUCGAUGAAGCAUCAUCUUGGUGGUCAUCCCAAGCUGUAGUAUUGCCAGAUUCUGGAAACUUAGAAACUAGCUUGCAAGAAAAGAAGAAAAUCAAGUAUACGUUUGCUUGUUGGCUUGAGCACUCGUUUCAGAAGAACCUUCUUUUGGGAUAACUCUUUCAGGCAAUAUCUCGCUGUGGCAGUAAUAGCCCAAUGGCUUCUAGUUGUUUUUUUUACCCUUCUGGGCUCUUUUCCCCCGGCGGCUAGUUUCAGCAUAAAAGGAAGAAGUCGGGUCCGCGCGGUUCGCCUUUUCGAAUGCAGCAGUGUUUUUGGCUUUGGCAAUACCAGCUAGCUAGCUACUUACUUGUGUGGGAGUCCUAUAAAGAAAAGCCUGAGUUAUAGACUGACUAAAGAAAUCCACCUAAGCCGUAAGUUUUUGUUACAGCUGGCACACCUGCUUGCAAACUCGAAAAUCUGAUUCUAGUAGAAAGUGGACUAAGUCUUAAGAGAGAUAAGCCGGUCUUUAUACACUGGCCCUACUUCGAAUUCAGUCAGUGGCCAGAUGCAUUGUAAGCAAUUCCAGUCCCAGCUGCUGAGGUGGCGUAGUCAGCCCUACCUAAGUAUUGAACAAAACCAACCAUUUGUAUAAUAUUAUCCUAUCUUGCAUAUUAAUUAAGACCACUUAUUAGAUCAAGGUUGGCAUACAUAGCAUAGGAAGGUGGAGAUCUGAAGUAAUCUAUAUGUCCCUCAGCCAGUCAUCCAUUUCUCUGGAUAUGAAGUUUACAACAUCAAAAAAAUGACCCUUUUCAUAAUGAAAUCCAUUACAUGCCAUCCAAAGAACUCUGAUCUGGAUUACCAGCUUUGGGGUGGAAGGACGGAUCGAUCGACCAAGCAACAACGAUCCCUUUACGAUGGUCAAGUGCGAAGGUCCCGAUCGGAUUGCCGAUCUGCCAGUGUUGUUUGACUGAUUUUUUGCAUCUCAAAACCAUUGAUGCUGACCUGUCACUGCUCAAGUGAUUUUCCUGCAUGGUUCUAGGAACCAAAAGAAGACUUUGGGUAGGUCAACGAUAGAUUCUAUGUCUAUAAUGGAACGUAGGUUCUUUUUAGGAGGAAAGCUUAGAAGGAUUCUUUUCAGAGCGUAAGAACCAUCGAAGAGCAUGGGAUUGGUAUUGCUUGCAGGGACUUUAAAGUGAGAGCUUGAUCACUAAACCCCUGCUGCUUUCGAUCAUUCCUGCUAAAGCAGUUGGCAAUGACUCAUUGGAAACUUCUAUUGGAUCUGGGAGAAGAAGAAAUCCAAUCAAUGGGUAGGUAGUCAAUUUCUGGCGAAAGCACAAACCUUUUCUCUUACUUAAGGCGAGAAAAUCCAUUCAUUUCGAUAAUAAUCUGUUUGAGAUGUGUUUUACCGAGAAGGUAUAUGGUUUACGGUUCUAAGCCGUUGAGUUCGUGUUUUGGUAGUUGUUGUUUUGAAGGAUGGCGGAUCCAGAGUUGAAGGAUGGCGAGAAUCAUAAUUACAAGAAGGCAACUACGCGAUUCAACAUCAUUUUUGUAAGAAUGGAAGCAAGCCAUAAAAAUUGCUAAGCUGCUGUGACCAGAGGUCGGGAGGCAAAGACGAAAGGGAUGCCCUUUCUCCAUCUUGACCGAAUGCGUUAUCUGCUGUCUCUGUUCCUAUUAACCCUUGGCCGCGUAUACCAUUAUCACGAGGGCGAUACACAGGAAAAAACCAAACCAUCUGUGGAACCGUUCGAUGAACGUAGGUCGGUCGGAAAGAAAGCGCGGUGUAGCUGGCAUCAGCAUCUCUUGUCAGGUUCGCACGCACAAGGGUGGUGGGUAGGUCUCUUUACGUGUCCCGCGAGGCAAGGAAUUCUUCGACCAAUGAUAUCAUGGUAUCAGAGUCGCCGAUCGAGAUUUCUCAUGGCUACCCAUUAUUUUCGCUUGAAAGAUCUUCACAUGUAGGCGGAGCCGUCCCUUUUGAAAAGUGGAUCUUUAGUCCAUUCAUUCUAAGUACUUUAUUAUUUAUUCUGUAGAAUAAGAAGGUUUCGCAGGCAUGUGCUUCAUGGCGACAAGUCGUAAAGCAUGGAUAGGUGGAAAUGCGCUAUAAAGAUUCGGCAUCGCUCGAUCAAACAAAGGGAAAAAUCAUCAAGAAUCUGAUCUUGCUCUGAAUCAUCUACCAAGGGUUCGCUGUCAAUGCAAUUUGAGUUGGCCAACUCCGGUGCCUCUAAGUCAGAAGUAUCUCUAUUGGCAAGCUCUCAUUGACAUAAUCCGGUGUAGGUGUAGGGAGCUGACUCUCAUGUGGAUCAAGAAAUAUCUCCGUAGUGCUCAGGACAGGCUGUGAGCAUCUUAUCUGCUUGGAUCAGGUAACAGCUUCAUUUCUUUUCAGAAGCUCAAACACAGUGUUUUCCAAUAUAGAAGCGGAGUAGUUCUUGUGCAAUCUAGGCAUAGGGCUACUAGAAUCCAUCACUAAAAGAGGAGUUUUCCGAGCUCUAUCGACACAACAGGACUCUAGAUAUUGGCAACAAAAGGGCACUUACCCCUAAACUAGAUUACUCUUCUUCUUCCUAUGAUAAAGCGGGGGCUGAAAGGGACUCUUUAAAGUACUUCAACGUUAUCACUGGACUUUCGUGUCAAUCCAACUGGAGGAGGGAAAUCGGGAGAAUAAAGAAGUCUUGCACGAGGGCGGCCUCUUUCCAUGCCUUCAAAUCCAUUUGCCACACUUUCAGAUCUCGGAUAUACAAUGAUGAAUCCUGACGAUCUACGAUCACAGAACGCAGUAAUAUGAAUGUCUCUCACGAGCCCCAAAGAGUCAAUCAAGUAUGCCUGCUUUGUUGGCACAGGGAAAGGUAGAACGACCUUCCGCCAUGUCAACCGCUCACUAGGCUUCUUGCUGCGGUGAAGUUGCUUCAUCACCCGGCUCAACAUCAGCCUCAUCCCCCCCAUUUUAAGCUUUGGUUAUAGUAUCCUUUAGUUCCACUUCUUCACCGAUCUCUCCCGCAAUCUUCUUUCCCCACUCCUCAUCCAAGUGAGGAGCUACCCGAGAUCAUCGAAACCCACCACACAAACCCUAACUGGCAAAACCGAUCUACGAACACCAAGGGCUAUUUAAAAAAAGAAGUCUGAAUCCGUGUCUUCUCUGCCAUUUGAUUUCCUUCACCACUAGCACUAGCCCCGCCAGCUACUAGAGUAUAGCAACUUUCGCUACCUUGACUCUUCUUGUUAUUAUCCAGACCCAUCAAGUCAUUCAAAAGCAAAGAAAGAAAGAUGAAUAAGCAAAGCGAAGGCCAAGCCUGAUCUCCCUUUCCCUUGAUAUGGUGGACUCCUAAAAUAGGCUUUCUUUGUUCGUAUGAUUUUGCAGAAUACUAUAAUAAGCCACUCCUGAAAAUGGGCUGGCUACUCGAACCAAAUAUUGAACUUGCUCUUUAGCAUAGGUAGACUUCACUACCUGGAUAGGUCAGCCUCGUUCCCAUUUCUCUGGUCCUAUAUGUUUUUUUGCAAGUACCAUUCCUGCUAUUCACAUUGAUUGAGUACUUUAUAGUUUUCUUCUUGAUGGAAGUGUCAAAUACUUAGUAGGAAGUCCCGGUGGGUAAUCACCAAAUGUUCUAGUACGAGUACAUCCAGUUCCGGGUGGUCAUCUAGUAUGGGACCUAAGAGAAGCCCUUUUUGAAUCCUUUUAUUAAGCCAUUGCUAAUCCCGUAAGGCAAUCCUUCAACGUUGUAGAAAAGAGUUCAAUACAAAAGCACACAAAGGCUUUGGACUAUGAAAGGCUACCUUUAUCAUGCAUGAAUAAGGCCGGGAGAUUAUGUCCUCAACAAACCUAUCUACUACUAAAUGACAAUUAAAGGGACGCCAACCAUUGGAGGUGAUACUGGUGAUGGUAAUGGUGAAGAUUCUUCUCUUUUUCCUGGGUACAUAAAGAUAAGAAGAAGGCAACGAAAAGCACUUAGAAAAGGCUAUGAAGAAACUGAUCCACUAUUUGUUUGAAACCUGUCAUCCACGUUAGAAAGAGAGCCAUGAAAAGCAUAGAUCCUCAAGGAAAGGAAAAAACACCACUUCGUCUAUUUACGAUUCCCAUAAACCAGGCCGUGCUUUCUUUUAUUUAGUAAGCUCAGCCGAAGAGCCCUGGACCGGCAGCACCUGCAAAUGAAACAUGCAUGCCUUUCGCUGCGCGCCUUUACUUGCUUCGGAAAUCAAACAAUGCAUUUCUUCUCAACAUAAGCAUAUACCGGUCUUUCUCUCUAGCCUAUACUUGACCUUGCGUACAAGCCUAUUAUCCUAUCGGUAUGCCUAUGUGACCCAUAUGUGCUAAACCGGUACUUGUUACUUACUUCUAUCUAUUAAACGUUACCGGUACUUAGUUACCGUGACUUAAUCAUGCUUUGUACUAAACCUUACUACGUAGUUCAAGCUAUACUGACCUUUCCAUGUUUUGUACUCAUCACUUGCCUAUGAGCUUACCUGUGAAUACUUUGUCCAGCAGCCCUUGUUUCUAAGCACCCAUCUCUUGCUUUGCUUAAACUCCUCCUUGCAACCAGAAACCUAUCGCCCCUCUCUUUUCAAAACAAACAACGCGGAGCGCCUUGUGAAGUGAAAAGAUGAGCUAUGAUGACUUGGCUUCCUUUCUUCUUUUCCUUGUGCAAGUCAACUGUUCCCUGGCACACCUUCAGUUCAGCUGUGACAUCUUGCACUUGUAAGAUCACUUGCUUGCCUUUAUGCUUGAGUUUCAGCAUUCCUUUACUCCAAGUCAACUGUCAUUUGACCAAAACUUGACAACCAGUCAAUGCCUAAAAUAAGAUCAUAACCAAGUACAUUGUAUAGUUGUUAAGCAAGUAGUGCUUUGAAGCAAGAAUCAAGUAGUUGUUAAAGAGAACCUAUAGCAAGCAAGGAGAAUCAAGCCUAUUGCUUGCAACGAGAAGAUUAGAAGAAAUCCUAUUGCUUAGAAUCAAUGCAUAUGCUUCAUAUCAGGAGAGACAUGUCAGAAAGGAUAGUAAAGCCUGCAGCUCUAGUAGUGCAAACUCUGAUCAAGCUAUCAAGUACUUAAUCGUUACCGAAGAACUCCUUAUAUUAUAUAAUAAUAAUAAUGCUUAUGCCUAUCUAUUGUUAAAGACUUACUUUGCUAGGGCAGUUCAUUCAAAGCACAUACCAUUAUGGCUAGCUAAAACGAAAGAAUGAGAGUACAAGGUAUGGGUCUACGCUUCCAGCUUGCUCUAGAAAAACUUAAAUUGGAUCUCUCUCUGGUGGGAGCCUGCCAAGCAGGAAAGCUUGUUAUAGUCGCGUUUUAUUCAUCUCUUCCCCUCUCCGCAGGCAAUCACUAUAACUACUUCAACCUUCUUCCGUGGUUGUGGUUCAGGAAAAAACAGUGGCAAGAAAUGUUGAUUUCCCUUUAACGGGUGUACAGGACCCGAGAAAUAUGCAGGUUUCUAAUAGUGCUCACUCCAGUGGGGUCCCGGCACAGUCCGAAUGGAAGUUCAUUCAUUGGAGUAGUGCCAAGCAAGAAAGUGCUCAAAGGUAUCAUAGUUCAUAGGUAUUAACAGGAUCCUUCUUGCAUCAAUUGGAUUGAAAAUUGACGUGAUUAGCUGCUCGUCCCAAGUACCCGAAGCAGGGUCAAUCAACUCAUUUACCUUUGUGAGAAGUGUACCUCCCCUUUCCGUAGUGAUUUUACUAUUGGGACUUCCUGGAACCCAAGGGUCGUUCCAUAUGUUAAUUUGCUCUCCUGUUCCAAUUCUCCUAAUGUGUCUACGUUUAUAUGCAUAUCCAGCUUUACUGCACAAAGCCCCGGCCCUGACCUCUUAUUUUUGAUUGAGUGAAUGCAUUAAUAAGCCACCAGAAUGUUAUCCGUUAUUAAACGGCCGGGUACAACAAAAGCACUCUGUGUUUGUGAAAUUACCUCAUCCAGUACUGUACGGAACUGAGAUAUUUCCUGCGGGGAUCUCACCUUUGGGAUUAAAACAAUAACAGUUCUAUUAAUGAUCUCUGGGAGGUAGCCGCCGUUUAGGAAACCAAGGACUGCAGCCGUUUUCUCGCAGAGCCGAGUCGGGCUAGUAAGAAGUAGCUACUUUAUGCAGCUUUGUAUCUGGUCCGGGACCUCAUCAUAGCAAACCAUCUACGCAUUUUUUAAACCAAUGGUCAAUCAAACAACUUUCCUCAGCCUUCUUUUCUGGUUGAUUGAGCAAGCCCUGAGACCGAGAGGGAUGCACUCCUGCAUGCAAAGGAAGAGAGGUGUAUAGAAUAGAGCCGAGAAUAUCACCUAGAACGUGCUUUUGGUACCAUGGAACGCAGUCCCUGUGACCCUAUAACCGGCGGAUCGAUCCUUGUAGGCAGCCACUCCAUUGGUUGAGAUGCAUCUACUGUCUCAUCUUGGCUAUCUACUAGCAAACCGCCCACAGGUUCUUGCAUAGUAUCACGAGUCAUGUUAACCUCUCCCUCCUGGUGCUGAAGAAUAGAAAGAAGCCAAACCCACCAGGACUUCUCCUCAAAUCAGAAAGAGAUCCGCCCACAGAUUGGCAAAACCACACUCCCCCGUUUCCAGCUUAGUGAGGGGAUUCCUUUAAUGCUUUCCCUUCAAGGGAAAACCUCUGAAAGAAUUUCCAUAUUGACCUUGGACAUAUAAGAGUNNNNNNNNNNNNNNNNNNNNNNNNNNNNNNNNNNNNNNNNNNNNNNNNNNNNNNNNNNNNNNNNNNNNNNNNNNNNNNNNNNNNNNNNNNNNNNNNNNNNNNNNNNNNNNNNNNNNNNNNNNNNNNNNNNNNNNNNNNNNNNNNNNNNNNNNNNNNNNNNNNNNNNNNNUGGAAUGAUGGUAUCAAUGUGCCGCAUUGAAAUGAGAGUGGCUAUAUCGCUAUCAAUCAAGGUGGGACAGAUCAGCCAUCUCCACAGAUUGCUAGUUUGCUGAAAACAAUCCAGCUUUUCCCAAAAGAAAGCCAAACUCUCAUCCAGAUGCAUCUCGAUUCACAUUUCUAUAUGAUAAUAUGCACGACCGAUUCUCGUAUCUGCUGAUACAAGAGAUUCUUUCAAAAGAUAACCCUUACCCCUAACCCCUGGGUGGGCGAAAGAUGGAGACAAUACUGCCGUUGAAGCGCAAGAGUGAGCAGCAGUCCGGUCAGCCCUUGCUUUCUCAACUUGAGCAGGAAACUUCCAACCAAAUAGGAGGGAGGGGCACUCUCAAAUAGGAAUGCAAACAUAAAACGCGUGCUCUUGAGUGUCAAUUCCUCUUCUGACCGAAGUGAAUAACAAACAUCCCUUCCAUCUGGACACUGAAUAAUGAGAGAAUCGUAGAAGUUAUCGGAAUCCGGGGCUAGAGUCUUUGGCUGAACAUCCACAGAUGAUCGAUUCCCUGCGCUAGCAAGUAUUGGAUUGGAGUGGGGGUUAGUUGGCUCACCAUAUGGUAUAGAUCGAUAGAUAUAUUUGAUACGUCCUAUAACAUGGAGAUGGAGAUAGCCAAGCCCCUUUCUCGAAAGGCAAACCCUCUUUAUCAUCCAACACAGGAUCUCCCUAUGGAAUACCACCAUUGUCUUUCUCCAUCUCACUCGUAUAUAUCGGUAUAAAUAGCUCAGCUCACGAAAUAGAGCGAGCAAGAGCUCGAACUUGGUAGGAAAGUUCGGAUAAGUCGACUCGACUCCUUAGUGCAGCGUACACUUGCUUCAGCAAAACGAGGCUCAUCCAUUUGUUUUGAUCCGAAUCACACUCUAGACCAGCUCUUCUUAUAGAGAAGGAACUCCACUUUGACAGUCAUACGAGAGGGAAGAGACUCAAAGUUGAUGAGAAUAGUCGAUUUGACCGGUAUCACGAAUAGCAGUUUUAGUAGAAAAGGGCGUUGAUGAUUGAAAGGAUUUCUCCUCGAACCACUAGUAACUAUGUCAGCUUUUGUCAUUCUGAUGAUACUGAAUCGGAUCAAUAUUUGGAAUAACAAUAUCUGAUCUAUCAAAUCGAUUCAUCAUCGAGAAUGGAAUAGUAUAACAUAGGAAUUUGAUCCAAACAAACUCCGAAUUGGGAUUUCUUAUUGGAUCAGGAAUCCCAUUGCAUUUUUCAUCCUUUUCCAUUUUUCUUCUUUCAGGCAGUUUUGGCUCGCAAUAAAGCUAGGGUUCUGAUCGAGCAAGACUACGUCCUAUCUAUCUACCUCUCCAAACACAAUAUCUUGAGUACCUAUGAUGGUGACUACAUCUGCUGGCAUGUGAUGUUUGGACAUAGAAUCGAGUCCUUGUGAAUGGGCAAAGCCAGGUGCUCUUAUUUUACAACGGUAGGGACGAUUACUCCCAUUACUGACAAGAAAGACACCAAAUUCACCUUUAGGUGCUUCAACUGCGGUAUAGGUAGAAGGAGCUGGUACGGAAAAACCUUCUGUAUAAAGUUCGAAAUGGUGAAUUGAGGUAGAGUAGACCGAUGAUCCGGUAGUCAUUUGGCCGGCUAUGGAAAGAAAAAGCUUGCAUCUGCUCCCCCUAAACUAUAACGGGUCCCAUCUCUCUCCAAACCUAACGUGGUAGUUUCCCAUCAUAAGGCUUUCCAUCUAUAGAUUGAGCCAUUACCCACCAAGGAUCCCAUUCGUUCAGAACUCAGUCGACUGCUUCUAUAGAUAAGGCGGAACGUCCUUAGUUCAGCAUUAUAGCACAUAGUCUCCGACGCUACUACAGCGCUUCGCUAACUCGAAGCGCCUCGCUAUGAGAAUGACGCGUCGCUAACGCUCGGCUAAGUCGUCGAACCCUCGCGCUGACCAUUCGCUUUCUCAGUAGCGAAAGCGCUUCUCUUUUCCCCUUAACUUCAUAAAGUAUUUGGAAAGAAAAGAAAGAGAUUCUUGGUUUUAUUGCUCCCGCUUCCUCAUCUGCGCUCGUCAAGCCAACUUUGCUUUUUGGGAGGCGAAAGAGGGGUUGAAGCGGACAUGUCGAAAUGACAGCAUCGAAGAUAUCUAUAUACACAGGAACGCUUAUUCCGGACUGCGUUCCGGAAAAAGUAGCCUACUUGACAGAAAGGGCGGGCACUCUCGGCUCGGAGGUAGGCACUCUCGUCUUUCAACCCCACCGUCACUUUGAAUUUAGUGGGGCACUGUUUACUUACAGCCUCUACGAGUUGCAAGUGAAUGGGGCCGGUGCGUGGUGAACGGAAGGGUUCAUCAAGCCAUUUCUCGCCUUAACCCCUAAACUAAAUAGGAAGAGGGGUACUUGACUAAUAGGGGGCAAUUGCAUUGCACCUGACUGUGAGGGACCUCUUGAUACCUUAUGUUCACUUCCUAACUAGUAGCCGGUUUCCUGUCGCGGAAGCCUUUUCCCAGUGCGCGGAGCCCCAAUGAGGAAGGUGUUAGUGCUUUCUCAUGGGGUCAAUAAUGCUAAUCCCUCUUUUUGUGCCGGGAAGAAGAUAAGAAAAGGCGAAGCCUUCUCUUGGUUUCCCAACCUGUUGCUUCUAAAGGCUGCCCUCUCUCGGCUGGAUUUUGGUCCAGCCUACUGCGAGGAUCCCGUAUCCCGUACAUCGUCUUUCUCCCUCCUGGGUUCCCGUGGUUCCUAUGCCGCCGCGUUUCCCGGUCCUUUUCUUUUAGUGCUUCGACCCGAAGCGAUAGCUUGACGCGUUUUCCGUGGAUAAGAUGGCAGCGCUCCAGCUCACUAAAGAAUGGGACGGCAGUGGUCCGCCGGCAAGCUCGUUCUGAUCCUGGACGCAGUACAUUGGAAUCCUGAAGCACCACCACGAACGCUACCGCGCGUGCGCCUGCGGUGCGGUAAGGCACCACCCUGUUGUGCCAGCAGCCAACUCCGGCGUGUCAGCUUAGUUAUCCUCAUCAAGCCACAACCUUGAUGUCUAGCUUCCCAACUGGUAGACGGUUCCCUUUCCCCCGGAUCAAUGAAGAAGGGAGAAGUCAGUUGAUUCUUCCGAAGAACCGGAAGCGAAGCGCUAUGCCGGGGCGAGGGGACGGGAAAAGAAACUGCUCCGAAGAAAGAUAUUGGGGUUCCCAAUGCUUCUCCACGCCCAACGAGAUGCGCCAACCUCGGGAUGCUUUACUCCUAACCCCACGGCGGUUCCGAGACGGAGCUUAACCUGAGUCUCGGUUAAGAACGGCGAUGAUCUACGUUUCACACGGCGCACGAUUCCAUGGAUAGUUUCAUUCGAGAUCGUGAUGGAGGACAUAGCUUACGAUCAUCGGCUUUGAUCAUGCCACUAGGCAUUUGAUUAGGACAUUGCACAAUGAUCCGAACACUUUGUCGCAUCUCUUCGAUACGGAUACAGUAACGAUCAUAGCGAUCUCCUCUGGUACCUACUGGUACGUCAAGAUCCGAUUGGUCAUGAACAUCGUAAGGUGCUGCUCUUCGCGAAUCCCAGCAUACCCCAGGUUGGGAUGGGUAGGCCCACCACUUCACUUUUGCACUUUCACUUAGGCCCGGGCCAAGUCAGUGGGGGGACCCUGUCGGGCUCCUUCCCCCCCAAAACAAACUGUACGUGGGAGUUUCCCUUCAUACGGCUCGAAUCAUUCUCAGAUGCCCCGAGAGGCAUCUUUCCUUAUGAUCUGGUGGUUCACACGCGCGCAAACGAGCACCGGCCGCAACAGCAAGGAACUAUGACCAAUAGAGUCAGACACAGAGCGUCAUACUUCUUUAUCUUGUGAUGGUUGAGGAGUUUCUUUCUCAGAGGGUGCGGGACGCUUGCGGAGUCCGUGCCUUCCGUACCACCACAGGUCGUUCUUGGGCAGAUCCCGCUCCUAAACAUAAGGGAGGGAUAGGGGGAAAGGGGCCCUAAAAAUCAUAUAAAUAGGGUUGUAGAAAGACCACUUUCAUUCGACGUUCCGGGGCGCCCGAUUCGAUCGACGAAUUUGGCGAGCUGAUCCGCUUUGAUCCAGGAGAAAGCCCAGUCAGCCACCUUUUCGGUGCAGGUCACGUGACCUACAGCUCGGCCUUCGCUUUUUGAGACUUCCUCUACCCACAUCUCUAUGUGCCCGCAGCACUUUCAUAUGGAGAAAGAUGGGCUUACCAUGUUCCAUCAAUAGCACCUAACCUAUGCCGAUUUUGGCGGACCGUGCUCCACCCCGGUGAACUCAUGCGGUUCCGACGUGCCCAGAGGCCAGAGGCGAAUCCGUUCACGGUCCGUAGGACCAACACCAUUCGAAGGUUGAUGGCCCGCCCCGCCUAGAAUAGGAAUCUUUGACUGGGCUUACACACAUUCGCUCACUUACGCUGUCCCCCCUCAGCUCACCCUAGCCCCGGGUACGUCGUCUCCAAGGCUUCACACAAAAUCUUCACUGACAACAUAUGCAUGCUUUUGUAGGGUCAGGCAGAACCGUUGUUGCCUGAUGGGAACUUCCCCCAUAUUGCUAUCANNNNNNNNNNNNNNNNNNNNNNNNNNNNNNNNNNNNNNNNNNNNNNNNNNNNNNNNNNNNNNNNNNNNNNNNNNNNNNNNNNNNNNNNNNNNNNNNNNNNCCCUGCGGGUUCGAGAACUAUGUAGACAUGACCCGAGAGACUCCUCGGUCAAUAUCCAAUAGCGGGACCUAGAUGCCCAUAUUGGAUCCUACAUAUUCUACGAAGAUCUUAUCGUUUGAACCUCAGUGUCAAGGAUUCAUAUAAUCCCGUAUGUCAUUCCCUUUGUCCUUCGGUAUGUUACUUGCCCGAGAUUCGAUCGUCAGUAUCCGCAUACCUAUUUCAAUCUCGUUUACCGGCAAGUCUCUUUACUCGUUCCGUAAUACAAGAUCCCGCAACUUACACUAAGUCACAUUGCUUGCAAGGCUUGUGUGUGAUGUUGUAUUACCGAGUGGGCCCCGAGAUACCUCUCCGUCACACGGAGUGACAAAUCCCAGUCUCGAUCCAUACUAACUCAACGAACACCUUCGGAGAUACCUGUAGAGCAUCUUUAUAGUCACCCAGUUACGUUGCGACGUUUGAUACACACAAAGUAUUCCUCCGGUGUCAGUGAGUUAUAUGAUCUCAUGGUCAUAGGAACAAAUACUUGACACGUAGAAAACAGUAGCAACAAAAUGAUACGAUCAACAUGCUACGUCUAUUAGUUUGGGUCUAGUCCAUCACGUGAUUCUCCUAAUGACGUGAUCCAGUUAUGAAGCAACAACACCUUGUUCAUAAUCAGAAGACACUGACUAUCUUUGAUCAACUGGCUAGCCAACUAGAGGCUUGCUAGGGACACUGUUUUGUCUAUGUAUCCACACAUGUAUAUAAGUGUUCAUUCAAUACAAUUAUAGCAUGGAUAAUAAACGAUUAUCUUGAUACAGGAAUUAUAAUAAUAACUAUAUUUAUUAUUGCCUCUAGGGCAUAAUUCCAACUGUCUCCCACUUGCACUAGAGUCAAUAAUCUAGCCCUCACAUCAUCAUGCGAAUUACAUUGUAAUAAAUCUAACACCCAUACAGUUCUGGUGUUGAUCAUGCUUUGCCUGUGGAAGAGGUUUAGUCAGCGGGUCUGCUACAUUCAGAUCCGUGUGCACUUUGCAUAUAUUUACGUCCUCCCCUUCGGCGUAGUCGCGGAUGAGGUUGAAGCGUCGUUUGAUGUUUCUGGACUUCUUGUGAAACCGUGGUUCCUUUGCUAGGGCAAUGGCACCCGUGUUGUCAAAGAACAAGGUUAUUGGAUUCAGAGCGCUUGGCACCACUCCAAGAUCCGUCAUGAACUGCUUCAUCCAGACACCUUCCUUAGCCGCCUCACAUGUAGAAUCUGCUACGACGCUCUGCUUGGAACUGCACCAGCUUACCACACCCCCAUUAAGAAUAAAUACGUAUCCGGUCUGCGACUUAGAGUCGUCCGGAUCUGUGUCAAAGCUUGCAUCGACGUAACCUUUUACGGCGAGCUCUUCAUCACCUCCAUACACGAGAAACAUCUCCUUAGUCCUUUUCAGGUACUUCAGGAUAUUCUUGACCGCCGUCCAGUGAUCCACUCCUGGAUUACUCUGGAACCUACCUGCCAUACUUAUGGCCAGGCUAACGUCCGGUCUAGUACACAGUAUUGCAUACAUGAUAGAACCUAUGGCUGAAGCAUAGGGGACGGUGCUCAUAUGCUCUCUAUCCUCAUCAGUUGCUGGGCACUGAGUCUUACUCAAUCUCGUACCUUGUAAAACUGGCAAGAACCCUUUCUUGGACUGUUCCAUUUUGAACCUCUUCAAAACUUUAUCAAGGUAUGUGCUUUGUGAAAGUCCUAUCAGGCGUUUUGAUCUAUCCCUAUAGAUCUUAAUGCCUAGAAUGUAAGCAGCUUCUCCUAGGUCCUUCAUAGAGAAACUUUUAUUCAAGUAAUCCUUUAUGCUCUCCAAAAACUCUACGUUGUUUCCAGUCAGCAAUAUGUCAUCCACAUAUAAUAUUAGAAACGCCACAGAGCUCCCACUCACUUUCUUGUAAAUACAAGAUUCUCCAACCACUUGUAUAAUCCCAAAUGCUUUGAUCACCUCAUCAAAGCGUUUGUUCCAACUCCGAGAUGCUUGCACCAGUCCAUAAAUGGAUCGCUGGAGCUUGCACACCUUGUUAGCAUUCUUAGGAUCGACAAAACCUUUGGGUUGCAUCAUAUACAACUCUUCCUUAAGGAAACCGUUAAGGAACGCCGUUUUGACAUCCAUAUGCCAGAUUUCAUAAUUGAUAAAUGCAGCUAUUGCUAACAUGAUUCUGACGGACUUAAGCAUCACUACGGGUGAGAAUGUCUCAUCGUAGUCAACUCAUUGAACUUGUGAAAAACCCUUUGCCACAGGUCGAGCUUUAUAAACGAUCACAUUGCCGUCAGCGUUCGUCUUCCUCUUAAAGAUCCAUUUGUUCUGAAUAGCCUUGCGGCCCUCAGGUAGUACUUCCAAAGUCCACACUUUGUUCUCAUAAAUGGAUCCUAUCUCGGACUUCAUGGCUUCUAGCCAUUUGUUGGAAUCUGGGCCCGCCAUUGCUUCUUCAUAAUUUGCAGGUUCAUUGUUGUCUAACAACAUGAUUGACAAGACGGGAUUACCGUAUCACUUUGGAGCAGCA
rnacentral:lncRNA from 1 species